AAAAAUCACCUAAGGACUGAAAAAGAAGAAGAAGAAAGAAAUCGAGUACUGCUCUGGGUUUACCUAUAACUAUCUGUCAUAGCACAUACAAGAGCCCCAUUGUCCAAUAGCAUACGAAUGCAAUCCGGUCGCCCUAGUCGCACAGCGAGGUGUAAUGGCGUAGCCCCACUACCAUCUCCAACAUUCAUGAAACGGGUGAAUCCCCUAUAAUUCGACAAAAAUAAUCAAAUAAAACAUGUAAGCUAAAUCUAUCAAAAUGGAAGAUCUUAAAAAUCACGCAAAAUAUACCCACCAAGAAUCGGCAACCGAGCUCAAUCGCGCGGCUAUAAGAAUCGCUUGCAAGCAAUCCGAAUGGCCAUAAUAUGCAGCAUAAUGCAAGCAAGUUCUCGCAUGUCAUGAAUCAAACAACAAAAUCUAGUCCGAUUAAGGAAACAAACUUGGUAAUUAGUUUGGGAACACGCAAUAUAUAGAUUACAAACAAGAAUAGUGAAAAACAGAAGUGAACAAGUAAACAUCAUACAUUUGCGCCGGCUUGAAGGAGUGCACGCAUCCAUUACAGAUAACAUCAGCGGGCUCUUAGACCAACAUAAUUCCAAUACUAAAUUUAUCAACAAAGCUAAAUAAGAGUCUAAAAAUCAUAAAAACGAUACUUUUAUGCAAUCAACCUACUUGCUUACGCCGGUUGAGUGAAUCAGGGUGGACAGACAUAUCCAGAAACAUUGACAGAACCUGAAACCAGCCCAAACCAGAAAACCCGAAUCCCCAAACUGAGUCAGUUGCGCUGUUGCAUAAAAGAUCAGUUUUUUAUAACAAACAGACCCCUGUUCUGAGUAAUGAUGCUAUUAGCAGAAAUGCUACAAUACAACUACCUUAGCAGAUUAUUUCUGCACUGGAAUCGAAAACGCUGAAAUUAAAGAUUCUACUUUUAAAGCUCGGAAUCUCAUUGCUGAUUGUCAGUACAGCAGAAGCUUCUCUUCACCGAAUGCUCUACUAGAGUCUGCUGGUGUAGACAGGAAAAGUACCAAAACAAGUUAAAAAUUAAAAUUUAACCCAUUAAAUAGUGAGUGUUCUUAUGACCUGUUCUGAUACUAUGUUACUUAAAAAAGUGAUCUUUACAGUAAACGGUUCAGAAUUAGUCUAAACACGAAAAGAAACCGAAGGAGCUUAACAACCUCGAGGCGCCCAUCGGAGGCGGCGAUGUGGAGGGGGGAUUGGCGAUUGAAGAAGGUGGUGCUGUGGAUAGCGGAGGGUGCUCUCCGCAGAGAACACGCCGCCGCGUCCGAGUCCCCGGCGCGAACGGCUCGGAAGAGCUCGCGCUCCGAGCCGCCGCGGCUCCAUGUUAGCGCGCUCCUGCGCACGGCGCGCUGCGGCGCACGUUAGCCCCUGUCGAGCUCCGGUGGGGCCGCGGCGGAGGAGAGAGAGAGAGAGAGAGAGAGAGAGAGAGAGAGAGAGAGAGAGGUGCGGAGACGAGCUCACAAAGGAAGGUUAGCAGUUUUUUAAGGUAAAUGUUAAAGAGGAGGGAUGCAAAUGGAUCAGGGUUCGAUUCCGAUCCGUUUUAAAUAAAGUUGUGAGUAUAAGUCAAAAAAAUUUUUUAAAAAUUUACGCCUAUAUCGACUAGACCAGAACAAAAUAACUAAAAAAAUAAAAAAAUAUAAUAAAAAUUAAUUUGUCACGAAUCUAGAACCCUCCAGUCUCGGAACCCGCAUUGUUUGCAUUUGUAAAGAGUAGUUUUCACUCUCCAGUUUGUGGUAAUGGAUCGGGUUACCACUUCGAACAGAAUUAUACAAACUUCGUUACCAGAGAAUUGGAUUUGGCUAAAUUCCACUGCACUGUAUUAUCAUAUAUUUUAGUUGUUUUCUCACCUCUCAUAUAUAAUGUAUUAUUUUUUUCACGAAUAUUACUGCAUUUCACACCAGACGCUAAUAAACAGAAACCACGCGAACUGUAGUACUCUAACGACGUAGUGCAGCUAUUUAGAGGACCAAAGCCAAGCAGAAGCAGCAAAAUCUAUAAUUGGGCACUGGGGUCUACUAUUAACAGUUGGUAACAUGGCGACAUGCACCGUGCUUUUGCGACACAAGGGCCCGUAUAUUAUGAGGGGGCUCGCGAGAAUCGUCCUCCUGCGGUAGCAUCUGAAGGGAUGUUAUCUUGCGGGCUCAAGAAUUAACUAAUGGAAUGCGCUGCAUCAGAAGUAGAUUGGAGUAGAAUUUGAACUGCAGCAAUCGAUUUAUUUGGAUGCAGACUCUGUGCGCGUCUAUUCGAUUAGUUGAAUUAAAUAGAGCAGCAUUCUGCUGGUAGUAGAGUCACAGUCGAAAUACGUAAGCGCUGUGUAUAUUAUACACACAACACACUUUAAAUGUAAUGGGUGCGUCACUUUGUUCAGCUCGUAGUGCUUUCGAUCCAUACUAAUUGAUAUUUUAUGGACUGUAGCUGGGCCUUAGAUGCUGCCCAUUAUUGCAUGCAGUCCGAUGUUCGACACCUGGACUUUAAUAUUCGUGAAGAUGACGCCCAGGUCCAUUUUUGAUUUUGGAAAGGCCCUCGUAGAACUAUAAAUGGGCCUUAAAAGUCCAAUGAGCCCAUAGCCUCGAGGAUCCGUUCGGCCUACUAUUGCAUGUAGUCCGAUUCCUGACACCUGGACUUUAAUUGUCGUGCCCCUGGAUGCAUCGGCAGCGUCGUCUAACGCAGUAUUUAGGGUUUUACUCCGCUCAUUACGGCUCUGGUCGACGUCGGCGUCUAGGGUUCCCUCCGGCUCCUCCAAGGUAAGAAGCGUCUCUCUUCGAUCCUCUUCCUCCUCCUCUUCUCCCACCGUCCCCAAAAUCGUAACUUGAAUCCUUAAUGCUACUCGUUGUUUGAUAUUUGGAAGUGAUUUAGUUGGUGAUUUCGGUUCAUUUUUGAAGUGAUUCAGUAGGCGCUUCUUCGGUUUCGAAGCAAAUUUUUUUUUUGUUGAUUUAUUGAUGAUGAUGAUGAUGAUUAUGAUGUUGAUGGACUUUGGAUUUGUUCAAUUUUCAUGAAUCUCAUCUAAUAUCUAUUGUUUGUGAACUAGAGUGCUAUUGCGAUGGCUCCUUCGCAGCCGAACAGUGGUCUCUUCGUUGGACUCAACAAAGGGCACAUUGUCACCAAGAGGGAGAUCCCUCCUCGCCCUUCGAGUAGAAAAGGGGUAUGAUCUGAAUCCACUUAUGGAAAUCGAUCACUUUUCUGUAUUAUUAUGUAGAAAAGUUGAAUACUUCAUGCUUACUUGAUUUGUUCUUUUGUUUAGCCAACAUUUCUCUCGAUUUUAUAGUUCAGUAUAAGGUUCAUUGUGUUGCUACAAUGACACAUUUAUUGUCUCUAUAUUGUGCUUGUGUUUUCUGAGAAUCAAUACGACAGGGGAAAUGUAGACUCUGAAUAACUGCGAAAAAAAAAAUUUGGUGUCACAAGUUCGUAUGGUAGUGUUUUUUGACAAGUUCAUAUGGUGUCAUAUUUGGUAAAAGGUAUACUUAGAUAUCUAAAUGUUUUACUCAGGUGUCAUCAGAUAUAUAAUUCAUUCCGUAUUUAUUCAAUCAUUAGAAGUUGCAUAUUAUUUUAAUGGGAUAGUGGUCGCCAAUAUGACACCCUCUCUUUCUUUCUCUCGAUGACAUCACGGAUAUCUUGCAUAAAGCUGCAAGAACUUUGAUUCAGUAGAAGCUAGUUCUGUUUCUAAUGGAAUGAGCUUAUUUGGUAGUCAAGGAUAUGUUUGUUGUGAACAUUUCUUGCAGAGUUCAUCAGAUGUUUGAUGGGAAUUGUUACUUUGUGAAUUAUUUCUGAAGCUAUAAUCUAAUUUUUUUAGGGACUUGCACUGUAGUUUUACCACCUUUAAAACUCAAGUUAUACAUUUCCAUGGUUAAUUAGUUACCUCACUUUAUGUGCUCUUUAGACUUUACAUUUUAAAGUAUUAUGUACAUUGUGGAAGAGAACAUGUAACUUAUCUUGUCAUAACCUGGUUACUAGUGUACUGUUCAUGUCCUUUGCUUGGUUGGUCUAAACUUGAAGUGUAAUAAGCGGUGAGAUGUUAUAUUUCAGAAAACUAGCAAGAGAGUGCACUUUGUCAGGAGCUUGAUCAGAGAAGUAGCUGGGUUUGCUCCCUAUGAGAAGCGGAUUACUGAGCUUCUGAAAGUUGGAAAGGACAAGCGUGCAUUAAAGGUGGCAAAAAGAAAGCUCGGCACUCAUAAGAGAGCAAAGAAGAAGCGUGAGGAGAUGGCUAAUGUUCUUAGGAAGAUGAGGUGUGUUUUAUUUAUUUAUGUUUGCUUUCUCAUUUUGGUUCCUGCAACAUAUAUGGUGUGGCUAUUUCUUACUUAUAGCAAUUUGAUGGCCUCUGAUGACUGAUGAGGCACAUAUACUACUACUUACAAGAUUAUACCUGGUUGACUAAUCGAUUAUUGAGUUUAAAAUGAUGAGUCAAUGUUCAACUAAGGAAGUUCUAUACGUUGUUAUUUUUACUUGAACUUGGUGACUAAAUUUUGCUCGUGGUUAGAACAUAAGAUAUAUAUAUAUAUAUAUAUAGUAAUAAUCAUUUGACUGUGACUGACUAGUGGAGGUUUGCUGAUGGGUCUAACAAAAGCGUUUUUCAUUUCGACAGGUCUGGUGGGGUGUCUGAGAAGAAGAAAUGAAACCAAGCAGUCACAUGCUUUUCUUCUCGGCAGGAGGAAGCUUAGAUUACACAAUUCUGAUUAAUCUUUGAGACAUUUAUGAUGUUGCUUUCCAAGGAGAGACUUUUUAACCGAGAUUCUACCUUCUUUCAUUCUUGCUCAUCGCAGCAAACUUGGGUUUUUGAUGUUAUUUCGCGACUUCCACUUUUUUCAGUGUUGUUCUGCAUUAUGUGAUGCGCAAAGAGUUGUGAAAAAUAUUGAGAAAGUUGUUCUUCCUUGCUGGCAUCUUCAACAACAGCAGUAAUGUGAUUCUUUUACUUAUUAUUCCGCAUUUGCGCUGUGCUCUUUAACCACCAAUUGUGAACAAGAAUAAAUAAAAUUUCGAGACAUUUAAGUCCCAACUACAGAAGAAGACUCAAAGAGGGGAAUGAACAUUUUGGCAACUGCUCGGUGAAGUAAAACUUCAUGGAAAAAGAGGAAAGUGGUGUAGAUCUUGACAGGGAAAGGAAGAACGUUUUCGGAUGAUCUAAAAUCUACUUAAAAGCAUGAGAAGCUGAGACGAAUAAAUUGAUUUGGUGUUGUUUGAGGAUCUUGUUGGAGCUAAUGAAGGACCAAAUAUGUGUGAUGGGGCCUAGCAAGCAAAGACAGAUUAACUAACACAUUGACUAAAUCCACUACUCUAUUUAGCAUUCAUUUUAACCACAUUUACAGAGUCAACAUCUUAGCAUCAUUAUCAUGACAAGCUUACUCCAUUAUUACGCGUUAAACUAAGAUCUAUGCUUUGAGCUUUCCACGUUUGACGAGUUCAAAUCAUAAAUGUUAUAGCAAAGACCAAUAUUGAUACCUAACCGAAUAUUUUUCAUGUUUAUUUAACAAAUUUAACAAAAAAAUUAUAAAUACUAAGUUGGUCGGCAACUCCUUUUCAGGAGAUUAGCUAAUAUAUUAAUUUAUCACAUGUCAUAUCAAACCUGUUUCUUGCAUUAAUUGCAUAUCGUAUUUGGCCAACUAGCACCAUUUUUCUUUUUCUUUUUUUGAUUUUUUUAAAGACUAGCACCAGUUAGUUUUCAACUUUUUCUCUGACAACAUAAAGAAACAUUAGAACCGUAAAAAUAAAAAUAAAAUAGAAGUUUAUUUAACUUUGAUUUGGUUUUGAAAAACUAUUGAGCUACGAGAUUACAAAGAUAGGUGCAUGAGAAAGAAAUGGAGGCGAUAUGGUCGCAAGAUGCAGCAAUAAAAGGAGUCCAGCUACUAUACUCUUAUAUGGUCGCAAGAUGCAGCAAUAAAAGGAGUCCGGCUGCUAUACUUUUAUAAGUACGAUCGUCUUUGUAUUCAUAAGUCGUUUUCGAUGAUAAAGCUUCCGAUUCAACAAUCCAUAUCGUUAAAUAUUUUUUAGAGCAUUUAAAAUUUCUAGAAAUCAAAUUUCAUUAUUUUUCGACAUCAUUUACCUUACGAUCAAAAGCUUACAAAAUUGAUAAUUUUUAACGACCGGUAGAAAAUAUUUGCUAGUUUAACAGUGCAAAAAAAUCAGAAUAGGUUAUAUUUUUGAUAGAAAAUUCUAUUCACUAUCUAGAUAAAGACCAAUAACUUCGAUCUUAAAUUGAAGAAUCUGAAUUUUUAGGACGUCGUUCGAUUUUGAUCGUUCAUUUUAUACCGGCGUGAUGGACUUUAUUAUGAUUUCGAAAAAUUACAAAAUUUAUUUUCUACAAGUUUCAAAUACUCUAGAUUAUAUUUAACUGAAUGGAUCGUUAAUUCGAAAGUCGCAUCAUCGAAAACAACUUAUGAGUACGAAUGGCCCAAUAUUCAUAAGAGAAUAGUAUUCCUACUCCAAUAAAAAUUCUAUAUCUUAAUAAAAUUACGGAAUAUUUAUUAUAAACAUUUUUUUUUAUUAUAUUCUCACCGAAAAAAAAGACCAAAAAAAGAGAGAGAGAGAGAGAGAGAGAGAGAGAGAGAGAGAAACAACUCGAACACCAAUUUUCUAAUUUUGUAAAAAAAUUUUUAAAUUUGGAGUAGAUACGUACAUCACCUCUUACUUAGUUUAGUUCGAUCCAUGGAGGGAGACGAUAGGAGACCCUUGCCCUCGUCGUCGUCGGCGGCGGCGGCGGCGGCGGCGGAGGCGGUGGUGGUGGCGCUCGACGCGGCGAGGGAGCUCAUGGGGUUCUGCGGCGAGGGGANAAAAUUUUUAAAUUUGGAGUAGAUACGUACAUCACCUCUUACUUAGUUUAGUUCGAUCCAUGGAGGGAGACGAUAGGAGACCCUUGCCCUCGUCGAUCCCCGCGGCGGCGGCCGGAACCCUAGAGCCGCUCGCGGAGGCGCUCGACGCGGCGAGGGAGCUCAUGGGGUUCUGCGGCGAGGGGAGCAAGAUCUUUUUGGUAUGGUAAAGCUCGCGUUUUGGUUGGUUUUGUUUCCAUCUUUUGUUCGAAUUUUGGGGAUUAGUUUGAUUUGAUGGUUGAACUCGCAGCUCUGGUUCACUUUGAUUUCCUUUUAUUGCCGAGAUCUCGGUUGUAUUAGGAGCAACUUUACUGAUAGUGAUCAUCUAGGUUAUCUAAUUUGUUCACUAAUUUUGUCGUGUUUUGCAUAUUUUUGCAAUUCUGAUAACUAGUGUAGUUGAAUUCGAAGUUUUGAACUAUCCAUGGUUUGUUGCACGCUAUACUGUAUUUUGUUCAGAUUUUUUUUUUUUUUGAAUUAAGUGUAUUCGUUAUGUGAAUUCUCAGAGGCUGGUAGAUUCUGGUUAAUGUCCAUUUACAGGGAUAAACUAUUGUUGUAAUUUUGUUUGUGCAUCUGUGUGCAGAGGAAAAUGAAUAUUCCGAAGUAUCAAAUUUGAGCUCUUGACUCGUUCUCUUUCCAAUAAAUUGCGGAGAUGUAGGCUUAAGAAUAGUACAGUUCUCUGUCAGGGUUUGCUUGUUUACACUUUAAGAUUAAGAUAAUCAGGGAUGUUAAGUAAUGAUUUUUCCUUAAUAUUAUUAGGAUCAAAUUCUGAAAAUUUUCUGUCGCCAACCAAGUCAAUUGUCCUUUGGUAACUGCUUGGAAGAAAAUUAUUUGUACCUGGAUUUUAUUAUGGUUGCUUUUCGCAUAAAUAUUAUCAAUUCUAUGUGAUUUGCUCUAACUGUAAGUUUGCAAAGCAAAUGAUCUCAACAUUGUGGCAAUCAAGUAGCAGUUCAUUGUACCGCCCAUACCAACUUAUUUCUUUCUAUUUAUCUCUCCCUGUUUCCACUCUUUAAUCUUUAGCAGCCUGGUAUGAUAAUGGAAAUACUUUAUUUUGCGUGUGGAACGAUAUGGCAAAAGGGAUUCAUCUGCUAGCUUUUGCACAAUCGCUUGUAAGAAUGCACCCAACGUAGUGUUCAUCCAGAAGAUAGGGAAAUGAUCUCUUUCUCUUUCCUUUUGUGUAACUCAAUAUUUGUUUCCAAUGGAGAAAACUCAUCAGUCAAAAAUCUUUAAUGGUAUUUGUUCAUAGACAUUUUUCUGAAUCCCUUCAGAUUUGUGAACCUCAUAAUAUCCUUUCAUUUGAAAAUUUUGAAGUUUCUGAAUGUUAACCUAAAUAUAAGAGAAAUAAGAAUGCCUAUAAUAUUUUCCAGCCUUGAUUCAGCUUGUUGAUGCUUUUGUGUCUAAUUCUUUUAUCAUUUCCUUGGCCUUAUUAUGUGGAAUGACUUUCAUUUCUUAUGGUUUCUUAAAGAACCUAGAAGUACUCUUAGAUCACCGAACUUGGCGUAAUGUCAUAUUCUUUAGUUUAACCUAUUCGCACUUGCAGUGUAUUCAGUCUCGAACUCAACCUAUGUCACUUAUUAUACUUUUGUACUCUUAAUGAGUGACUAGAUUCACUCUCAGAGAAAAAUAACAUGGCUAUUUGUACAAAAGUUUUGAAAUUACAGUUUGCUUUGAUGUGUCGGCUUGACUUAGGGAAGUGCAAUUUUAUUUUCCUUCCCUGAUCUUUUCCUCUCAUCAUUUGCAGGUCCUUGAGAAAGACACCGUAAUGAAAAGGUUUCAGGAAGUAUCUUCUCAGUUAGAACAAGCUUUGGGUCAAAUUUCUUUUGACGAUCUUGACAUAUCAGAUGAAGUUAGAGAACAGGUAAGUAACUUAUGGCAAUCUCUUUAAAGUCUCUAUAGACAUUACUCUUCCUUAAAUUUGUAUCAUUAAUCUCUUUUGGCACAUUCUCAAGAGUACUUCUUCUUGAAGAUAAGAGUUUUCUGUUAAUUCCUUAAUAUGUCAGUAUCUAAUUGAGAGAUGUUUUAACAGGUUGAGCUUGUGCAUGCUCAACUAAAGAGAGCCAAAGAACGAACUGAUAUGUCGGAUUCAGAGCUUCAUACUGAGUUAUUAUCCCUAUAUAACAGGACCAAGGAGGUCAACAUAGACCCAUCGAUCCUUGAAAGAUUAUCAGAAAAGCUACACCUGACUACAAUUGCUGAUCUCAAACAAGAAUCGCUAUCUUUGCAUGAGAUGGUAAUUGCCAGCGGCGGCGGCGAUCCGGGAGAGCAGAUUGAGAAGAUGUCGAUGCUGCUAAAAAAGAUCAAGGAUUUCGUGCAGACACAAGACCCUGAAAUGGGCAGUGUAGCAAAUCCGAAAUCUCUGCUUCUUGAUAGGAAGCAAAAAACUGCAGUAAUUCCAGAUGACUUCCGCUGUCCUAUAUCCCUGGAUUUGAUGAAAGAUCCAGUAAUUGUGGCCACUGGUCAGGUAACUUUUAAUUUAAAUAAAAUCAUAGAGACCUUACCUGAAGUAUAGCUGAUUUUGAUAGGGCAUCUACACUCUUGAAGCUUUGAUUCUACUACCUACCCUUAAAAGUUGACAAUUUGUUUGAUUUAUCUGGUUCACCAGCAAAACUUAAUAGUAUUCUUAAAUUUUUAGCAGAAUAUUGUAAAACCUAACCACGUAUUCUGUUCACUUACGGAAGUUUUUAUCGCUAUUUUGACCGAAACCUUUAAGUUCCAACAAAAUUUGCCAGGAAUUUUGGAAAUCAAAAGUAAUGGAAGGUGAGAUAGUAAACUCAAUACUUAUGAAAGUUUAGGUAUCCAUGUUAAUACACACUGUAAAUUCAGAUAAAUUCUAUAAGUUUUUUACCUUCUAUUCAUGGUAAUCUUGGUUUUUAGAGGUAUUAAGCAGUGUACUAUGAUUCAUCUUUCAAAUUUUUUAGCUAUUCUUUUGUCCAUCCAGACAUAUGAGAGAGCAUGCAUUGAGAAGUGGCUAGCUUCAGGCCACAACACAUGCCCAACCACGCAACAAAAGCUGGUUCACACCUCAUUGACCCCAAACUAUGUUUUAAGAAGUCUCAUCGCCCAAUGGUGUGAAGCGAAUGGUAUUGAACUGCCCAAGCGACCUUGCCAACCUAGUAAUCCUACCUCUUCAUCAUGCUCCUCAAAAGAACAUGCUAAUAUACAUGCUCUUCUCCGUAAGUUAUCUUCUCCGAAGCCCGACGACCAGCGAUCAGCUGCUGGGGAGCUGCGUCUCCUGGCCAAGCGCAACUCUGACAACCGCAUCUGUAUAGCCGAGGCUGGUGCAAUCCCCUUACUGAUAAAUCUACUCUACACCACCGACUUACGGAUCCAGGUUUGAAGGAUUUUUUUUUUCUUUAACUAAUGUAAGCUGCUAGAAGACACUGUUUUUUAAUAUUUUAUGUACUAAACACCAGGAACAUGCUGUUACUGCCCUUUUGAAUCUCUCCAUCCAUGACGACAACAAGGCAGGCAUAGUUUCUUCAGGGGCCGUGCCAGGCAUUGUCAAUGUAUUGAAAAACGGCAGUAUGGAAGCACGGGAGAAUGCCGCUGCCACUCUCUUUAGCCUUUCAGUGGUGGAUGAAUAUAAGAUAAGAAUCGGGGAAUUGGGGGCCAUACCAGCCCUCGUGUCGUUACUAAGCGAAGGGACUCAGCGUGGGAAAAAGGAUGCAGCAACUGCCCUUUUUAACUUGUCCAUAUAUCAGGGGAAUAAGGGGAAAGCGGUUCGAGCGGGUGUCGUCCCACUAAUAAUGGGGCUAUUGACUGAUCCAUUGGGUGGCAUGGUGGAAGAGGCUGCGGCGCUGCUGGCAGUGCUGGCAAGCCACCCAGAGGGGAAGACGGCAAUUGGGGAGGCUGAGGCUGUGCCAGUGCUUGUAGAGAUGAUUGGAAUGGGGUCAGCAAGGAGUAGAGAGAAUGCGGCUGCUGUUCUUUUACAUCUUUGCUCUGGGGAGCAGCAACUCAAGUAUUUAGCUCAGGCACAGGAGUGUGGGAUGAUGGGGUCACUAAGGGAGCUAGCAGUGAAUGGCACGGGGAGGGGAAAGAGGAAAGCGGUGCAGUUGCUUGAACGAGUGAGCCGGUUCGUGAUACAGCAGCAAGAGGAACAGGCUCAAAUUUUGACUUUGGCUCAAGCUGGGACUCAGUUCGAUGUCCAUGAUCAAGUUGAACAUGCAGAGCAUCCAUCUUCAGCAGUUCUUAUUGAUCGGUAACAUUUGUCUCGUCGCAUUGUUUGUACACAUUCUUCCUUGUGGUUAGGAGGUUUGAUCUCAAGAUAAGGUGGUAACCUACCUGCUCUUUAAGAUGUGCUUUUACUCUGUGUUCAAGUUGGAAUGUGCUAUAUGCAUUCUUGAAUAGAUGUGCCAAUGGUUGUCCAUCGGCUGGGUUUGGAGUGUAACAUACACAAGUUGUGGUGGUGUAUAUUUAGUUUGGGAGUACUAUAUGUUUAUUGAACGGUCGUCAAGCCUAUUACUUGUAGCUAGAAUUAUUAAACAUCUUUGUGAAUGCAGUUAUUUGUGUUCUGUUAUGUGUGUAUGGAUAGAAUCCUUUUGGGAUGUGGCUAAUGGAUAAUUCUACUGUUAAUUGAAUUAGAACAAAUUAGAUUCUAUCACAGGGUCAGUAGACACAUGUAUCAACCCUCUUUUUUGAGGGAUUAACUUAAGUAAUCUUCUAGGUAUCUUCUUAUUAGACUGAUCAUUUAACACACCGCAUACGAUGUCUCUUCAGGUAAAUUUAAAAUCACACCCUUUUCCUUUUUUUCCUUUUCCAUUGCAUAUUCUUUGAUCCUCAAUUGCAUUAAUUGGUCCUUCAAUGUUGACGCAAGCGAGCUACUAAUGUGAUAUUAUCUUAGGUACUGUUCACUUAACAGAGAUUUAUAUUGGCUUGUUGAAAUAAGGUUGCUAGCAACGGUAGCUGAUCUAUCUGUGGAAUAGCAAUGCAGAUUUUCAGGUAAAAUCUGUAACUUCGAGAUUUUUGUGAACUUUUUUCUGUUUCGAAGAAUGUAACUACAAUUGUGUAUACUGCUGUUUUGAAAUGUAUGUGUAGUAAUUGCUAUAUGUCCUGGUUAAAUGGUAGCACAACUUAAUGGGCGUUCUCCUACUUUAAUGCGACCCAGCAGCCAAAUUGUUUUGCUCCAAGCUCAUGAAAACAAUUAAAUAGAGAAAUAAACCAAACAAUGAAUAAAGAUAGAUACAAAAAUAAUAAAAGCUGGUACAUACAUAAUAUUUCCAAGUGGUUUGUGACCAAUAGCAAUGAUAAUCUCUAGGGUCCUUUCUUUUUUCUUCUGUGAAAGAUUUGGUUCGUAGCAGUAGGAAGUGACAGUACGAGGUGGAUAAUGAGUAUAAUAGAAGUGUGGCUUUUUGACUCAGGUGACCGAGGCUUCUUAGAAAGAGAAAGCGAGAGCUCCGUUAUCCAUUUAAGCAGCUUCGUUUUCCAUGUAAGUAGUCGAAGCUGUCUCCCUUUCUUUUAUUAAAAAUGCUAUUGUACACUAAAAAGUUGGGCGCAAAUCUUACAUAUGCUUCUUUUGAAUUUUUAAUAUUAAUAGAAAGGAUGGAUAAGAUUAAAGUGAAAAAUAUGACUUUUCGAUGAAGAGCGUGUAAAAUUUAUAUCUACUUUCGGAAUGUGCAAGGAAUAUUGCUCUUUAUGUAUUAUGAUAUACUACUUGGUCUUAUUAUAAUUGUAAAAUCUAACUAGGUAGUGACUCUCCUUUGUAAGGUUUUAUUAUUAUUAUGAUAUUGUAUUAUGAUAUUUCUUCUUUUUUCUCAUCCUGAGAUCUCUGCAGUGAGGAUUAACUAAAAGUUGAUGAAUAUUACGAGUGAGUAGAAAUGCUUGCGCAUAAAGUUACUCGAGGAAUAUGCUUUGAAAUUUAUCAGGAAUGUAAUAUAAUUUUGAAAAUUCCCAACAUAAGUUUGAACAGAUUCAAUCUUAGGUAACAUCCAAGUUUCAAUUCUGUUAUCUCAGUGUGCUUUUCUGCAGCUAUUCUGUGCCCCAGUGCCUAUUGUGAUGCCUAUGGAAUAUAGAUAGGCAUCAAUUAUCCUUAGGACUUGUCGGUUUUAAGCUUUUCCUUAAGCACCGUUUGAUUAGUGCUGCUCAAAAAUCACUUUAAUGGUUAUUAAAAUACAUUCAAUUACUUCUCACCUCUUUUGUCAUUCGUAACGUGGAAAUGCUAUUUCAGAACCUAGGCUAAGCUAUUUUUUCGUGUCGACAAUGUGUGUAGGUCCCCAUACCUUGGAGCUCCUCUUCUUCAAUCAGUGUAUAUUAAAUUCAAGCCUGGGAGUUUUGAGGCCCAAAUUUGGAGACGCCGACAGGAUUGACCGUCUUUCACCUUAUCACCAGGCUACUACUAGGUAAGUAAAUGCGGAAUUUUCCUUUCACAUAUGAACUUCACAAGGGAUGGUAUGGAUCUAUUUCUAUUUCUAAAUCAAUUUCAUUAAGUUGAAUCAAAUAGUAGUAUAAAUUUGCUAGUUGUGAACAUCACAAUCAGGUAUCCUCCCAACUCCCUAUGUCAUAGUGUUUCAAGAAGCAGAGUAACAAAAAUAUCUUCACUUGAAAGUACCACUACUACACCACUGGUGCAAAAAGCUUGCACAUUCCUAGUUAAAAACCAACUCUGGUGAAAGGGGCUCAUCAGAGUCCCCCAAUAUAUGAUGUGAGGGAGCUUAGCAAUCAUCCCCAUCACCAAAGAUUCCAGAGUCAAAUCUGCUGCGACAUGUCUAGGACAGCAUCAAAGCCUAUCUAAUCCCAUCCAUUUCCCCUAAAGCCUGAGAGGGCUCUAGAAGUUCUCAAAAGCACAAAAACACACACACACACACACAAACUUUAAAAAAUAAAAAAUUAAAAAUAAAAAAUAAAUCUGAAUCUAUUAUAUAUAUAAUAAAUAUGAGGAAGGUGUAAAGAUAUAAGAAGUUUAAUUAGAAUUCUCUCAGAUGCAUUAAAGUUUGAUAGGUUACCAAUGAAGUUAGGAAUAGAGUAAAAUGAUUGAUGCAUUAUUCCAAUCAAGUAUAUCAUUAACCAUUGGAACCUUUAUAUCUUACAUGGGAAUUGUGCUUCGACUAGAUGUACUCGACACACACACACACACACACAAAAAGUAAGAUUUUUGGGUUGAGAAAACAUUGUGUUAAUUUCGUUCUUUGCUAAGUUGAGAAAAAUCAAAGAAGAAAAUUAAACAGACGGCGCGAUAUCUGCCUUGUAAUCUUUUUUAAAAAUUUUGAGAGGGAUUUUAGAAUAUUUUUUAUUAAUAGCCUUAGAAAAUACUUCAAUGAAUUUUUUUUUUUAAAUACGGUAAAUUAUUCACCUUUUUUUUUUCAAAGAAUUAAACUUAUUUUUAAUGUUUAACACUAUGCAUCUUUUGAAGUUUGGAGAUAAGAAAUAUAUAAAUUAGGAUAAAGGUGGUGAAUUAUUCAUCGUUUUUAAAAAAUAAUAAAUGAUUCACCGCUUUUAACAGCUUAUUUUUAUAAAUAAAAAUUUUAAAUGUCUAUUUUUAUAUUCAAAAAUUUUGUGGGCUUAGUAGUCCAAAAACUCCGGAAUUUAGCUAGUUAGCUAGUUAUUUGUAAGCCUCAAUCCGAAAGAAAUAAGAUUGAAAUGUAAAAAGGAGAGGGAUCAACACUGCUAAGUAGAGACAUGCAUGCUUUAAUAAGAAUUGUGUCUGUUUGCGCGAGUUGCUCUGUUUAGUAUUAAUCGUAUCAUAAAAUUCUAAGCGCUUCUAAAUUACGUGCAUCUUAUCCUGUCAAGAGCAGUAAUAAAUUAGUUUAAAGAACAGUGCUAACUAAUUAGAAACUGAUCAAUCUGGGUAUAUAUCAUGUACAAAACUGGAGCAGAGAUAUAUCUGCAAGUAUUAACAAACGACAACAUUACUGACCGUCCCUAGAGCAAGUGGCAAAGGACUUGGUGGUUGGUAUCCGAGAUUCAAGUUCGAAUUCUAGUUGGUUCAUAUUUUCCAGCUAAGUUUAUUUCUAAAUGAAAUAAACGAAACGGGUAGCAUGCUACCUAUCUUUCUCUCUCAAAAAAAAAAUAAUAAUAAUAAAAAAUAAACGACAACAUCGUACUUGUUAACCAAGUACGCAGAAACUGAGCAGCAUGCAUGGAAUUUCUGCUCCUUGGUGCGACAAGAAUAAGAAUCCAGUGAGUUGCGGGAGAACAUACUCCCUCGGGAGUGUGGACAAACAAUUAAGAUUUACUGUAGAGAUAUUGUGAAAGGACAUCGAAGAGAGGGGGGUAAGGGGGUGUGAUUGUGCUACUUAAUUAGACCCCUCCCACAGAUCCCCUCAGUUGUUUUUGUCUUGUGUUAGUACUACUCUUGCCUCAAUCAUUGGGAUCGAGCCCAAAUUCGACACAAAAAAGAAAAGAAAAGGUUGUGACAAGUUUUAGUCGUCAAUUGUUAUUUCAUCCGGAUGCAUAUAUAUGGAACCGUAAACCUUACAAUCGAAUUAGAUCAAGAGAAAAGAUAUACACUUAAAAGUACACUGUUAUCUUGUUAACAUACAAGGCUUCUUUUCAAGCUUGAGAUGUCUCUCAUCUAUUUACUCAUGCUAUGCUCCGCCUUAGCUGUUUCCACCCUGUUUGCCUAGUUCAUGUUGCUUAAUGAAUAAAACAGAUAGUUUGCUAUUUUUUUCUCAAAAAAAAAAACCUAUCGUAUCUAGCGCAGUUGACUAAGAAUUUGAUAGUCGGUAUGCGUUAAAUUAAGCUGAGUUUAUUUCUCAAAAAAAAAUUAAACAAAAUAACUGGCUUGCUAUAAUUUUCUGUCUCAAAAAAGGUUAAAAACAUUAAUUCAUAUGAGGAAACAGGCAAGGAAAAGAUUUGAGCUCUCCUUACAUAACCUGUUUUCGCUCUAUCACAAAUUAUAAAUUUCCUACCUUUUUCUUGGAACAAUAUUAAUUAAUUAACUUGACAUGUACACUACAUACUUGCAUAAUUUACAUGCUUGGCUAUGAAGGCCACAGAUCACCAGUACCAAGCCAUAAAUGAACCACUUCUUAAUUAGCUCCACAACUGAUAAUUCUUCCAAAACUAUACAUGUUCACUUAAUAAAGAACAAAGACCAUCGAAUGAUACAUGAUCACCACAUGUUUUAAUUAGUAGAUAUUAUUUUUUCCUGAGUGCAGCUCGAGGGAUGCAAGUAUAAUGCCAUGCUACUUUUUAUUAUAGUUGGAUUAAUGAUGAAUACCUAAUCAACUUGGUUGUAGAUGGAAAUGCAGCAGUUAAUUGGAAGAACAAUUGUACAUUACUGUUACCUACUAUUCCCUAAUUACCUCUUUUAAAAAGAAAAAAAAUAUUAAGUUGGGAGUAACCUCACCAAUUAUAGCCUGCUUGUACUUAAGAUAACAAGAUUUGCGAAACUUGUAAGUGCAAAUUCCGCGCGGUUGAAUCAAACUAAACAAAUAAUUUGUAGUUGCACCAAUUUCUCAACUAUACAAUCAAUUAGAAUAAUUACAGAGUAGCAUUUACAUACUUAACUACUGCAUGUAUUUUCUAGUUCUUCUAGUCAAUUGCAUUCCAGCCAAACAAUUAAACCCUUUAGUUGAUCUUAUUUUUCUCAACUUACUAAUGGAGCUAGUCCCACUAAAAUUAAACCCAAAAAAAGGGGUAAAGAGAAAGAGUAAUUCCCAUUGCCAAACUUGUAGUUGGUCAUGAAAUUUUGAUGUAGAUUACUAAUUCAUUAAACUAACCACUAAUGAGAAACUAAUCAUGGAGAAACCCCAUCUCUAUAUAUAUAUCAUAAUUUAGCUACCUUUUUUGGACGUUCUUAUGUACGCUGUUACCUAUAUUUAAUUACAUGAUGAGCUCAAUUCACAUUAUGGAGACCAUAGUUUAAAAAGAGAGAGAGAGAGAGAGAGAGAGAGAGAGAGAGAGAGAGAGAGAGAGAGAGAGUUCCCUCUCACUAAGCUUUAACAUAGUAUAUGGAACAUGCCGUAGCAUCUUGGGGUCUAACAUAUUCGUGAGGUGUGAAUAUAUAGAUCACACACACUCAUACACACACGGUUAUGGCCAUGAUUGAGCUCAUGUGAUGCAACGUGAUCGAGCCCCAGCAUGGAAUCUCUUGUUAUAUACAGGGCCCAUCUCACCAUCUUUUUCCUGUUUCAGCUCUGUGUGUGUGUUUGUUAGAGGAGUCCCCCAACAUAAAUGACUCCUCCGACCCCAUUCAAAUAAAGUUAAAGCUGCUCUCUCUCUCUCUCUCUCUCUCUCUCUCUCUCUCGCUAGGGUGGCAAUGAAUCCUAAUAUUAGGGGGUUUUUUUUAUUGAAUAAAAUAAAAACUGUAGUAAGUUUUUGGGGCCCAGUUGGAGGUGGUGUGUAGAACGAAUCUGAUUCCCUGAGCCCCAGUUGAUGAUCUCGAGAUUGGGUCCCAAAAAGGACUAGCCCGUAAUUUAGUGGGUCGGAUUUGUGUCCACGUACAAAGGACUUUCUCUCUCUCCCUCUCCCUCUCUCUCUCUCUCUCUCUCUCACACUGAGACACGCUCGAGAGAAAUAAUUUAAUGGACCUGGUACACCACCAUGUAAACCACGAAUUGCCUUGUAGAUCAUGGGUCAUGAGUACCUACUUUUAAAUAACUUGACCUUCUAACAGGCCUAAGAAGUGAAAUUUGAAUUUAUCUUAAUGAGCCAAACAUGCAUGUAUGAUUCAAUUUCGGAUCCAUACUUAAUUUGAUGUCAUGCAUGUGAGAUAACUAUCUUCUUUUUUUUCUUUUUGUGAAAGCUUUAGCUAAUGGAUAUAUAGAGUUGUUUUUAUUGUUAUAUCUUUAACAUUCCAUCCAUUACUCUCACAAAUUUUUUAAAAAAAUACUACUUUCAAUGAUAAGAACUAAAAGUAAAUGUAAAAUUAAUAGCAAAUCACUAGAAGUUCACAAUUAAUGUGGUGGACCAUGUACACAAAAUCUCCAUACAAUUAAUCCAUCUCUCUCUCACAGCCUCUCUCUCUCUCUCUCUCUCUCUCUCGCUCAAUCACUCACUCUCAUUUCCCUGCAUGCAUUCCCACAAUUUAACUUCCAAUAACCAUGCGCACUUCCCCAGUAACCUUCCCUCCUUUCAAGGAACAAACAUCCUAUGGAUUGAACCCAUCUCCAGUACUAGUGUGGUACUAUUUACUACAUCUCUCUCUCUCUCUCUCUCUCUCUCUCUCUCUCUCUCUCUCUCUCUCUCUCUCUCUCUCCUAGGCUUCUAUUUCUAUAUAUAAUAACAACAUAUAUAUAUAUAUAUAUAUAUAUAUAUAUUAAUAAUAAAAAAACAUAUGGCAUUUUUUUUUUUAUUUGAUCAUCUGCUAAGGGUGUAACAGUACCAGAAGGGGUUCUCGCACACUAGUCUCUCUCUCUUUUUACGUGGGCUGAGGCUGUGGUUGCUUUAUUCUCCUCCAGGAGGGGGGAUAGGGAGACUGCAUUGGACUUUGAGAAAGCAGACGAAAACCUAGAUUCCCUCAGACAGGGACAGGUAAACCAACAGGGACCUUCUGGGGAUUUCACCUUUUCCUUUCCCUCACUCUUCUCAUUAAUUUGCUUCACCACCCCUCCCCUCUCUCUCUCUCUCUCUCUCUCUCUCUCUCUCUCUCUCUCACACACACACACACACAACACACUCCCUUUUGCUUUUUUCCUUGUUUGUCUCAGUGCAUGUGUGUCCUUGCACAUCACUGUGGCAUUAGUCUUAGGUUUUAUUCUAACCAACUGGGGUUUUUUUUUUUUUUUCCUUUUUCUUUAUUUUUUUGUUUUCUUUUGCGCGGGAGAGAGAGAGAGAGACAUACGCGUGCAUAGAUUUUAGUGAGAUCUUGGACUCACUCGCUCACUCACUCUCUCUCUCUCUCUAUCUACUUCUUUUCUUCUUCUUCUUCUUCUUCUUCUCCUUCUUCUUCUUAUUAAGUUAUUACAUAGAAAUGUGAGCUUGUUGAAGCUAGCCCUAUGGGUAAAUAGAGAUACAAAUUAAUAUUAUUAAACCAUAGAGGAUUCAUCUGAUUCGAGGCAUAUAUAAACUGCAGCAAAUCUCUAACAGAAUAUGCCCAUAUAAAGUGCAUGUCUCUUUGUCUCUCACAUGUACGAGUAUGUGGGUGGAAUGUGGUCAUUGCAUUUGUGAAGCUAUGGGAAUUGUUAUAGAGAAUUAUAUAUUGAGUGAGUAGAGCAUUACCAUUACGUACGUAGUUGAACAAUUAAUUAGUAACUAACUGGCUUGGUAACUUUUUUACGGGAGAUACGUAUGUAUAUUAUAAUUAAAUUCGUCUUCUGGUUCAAAAGAUUAUGCUUUUUAAUAAGAUCAAUUAAAUAAUACAUUGAAGAUCAGAAGAAUCUGAUGAUGUAUAAACUAUUUACUAUAGGCGUCGUACAGCUUAGAUCUAAACCAAAUUAAAAUCCAAGUGAAAAUUGAAACUUCCAUGUGACAGUCAAUGACAGUUCUCAAAACCCUAGAAAAUUAAAAGGCAGCUUCGAUACAAGUGAAAAAAAAUAAAAACCCUUCUUCGAGUAAAACUAAGGAGAUUGCUAUUCCUGUGCCUUCCCUUGAGAUCCAUGCUACUCAACAUUCAAUGCAGGAUAAAACAUGGCCGAUGAGAAAACAAAAGGAAACCUUUGAAUGUGGAUAUAAGUGCAUAAGAAACCUAGUUAAAAUACCCUACACAUGAACUAUAUAUAUGUAUAGAAAAUUGGAUCAUUAUGAUUGUUCUAUCAUACUGUCUCUGACAAGAGAAGCAAUAAUUCUCUAGAGCUUAUGCUGCAUUAAUGAUAGUUCGAGUAAAUGCUCUACUACAUAUAUAUAUAACACCCAUGCAAAUCUAUGCAACUGUUCCUAUUUAUUAUUGUUUAAAUUAAAUAAUGGAUUUACGGGUACAUGCAUAAACCUAUAGAGAAAGGAGAGAGAGAGUAUACAAAUACAAAUAGCUAUUCUUACACCAUGGAAUUGAGAAGAUCAUGCAAUCAAGUACCUAAAGCUAGCUAGCUAGCUAGACAUCUAUAAUUACUAAAUAGUCCAAGUACACCAGCUACUCAUAUGCUUAUCUUCUCGGUGAAGCUAAAUGAAGCAUCAUGAUUCCAACAUUAUGUUGAUGUUCUAUUCAUUCCCAAAGAUAUAGAAUAGUUGACCACCCAUAUGAAUGUUGUGUUGUAUUUCCUCACACUCAAGCAAAGAAUGUAGUUGAUUUCCUUCAUAUGGAGAUACUGAUGCUUGGACCAAGCACAGAACACUUGCACUGAUCGAGCAGCUGCUUUAAACCAAAAGAAGAAAACAGUGAUGCAUAUUCGUAUCAUGUGUUUGAAUGCUCAAAUUCAUGCAAAGAUGAAUGUGAAAUGAAUAUACCACUAUUACAACUAAUUUGAAGGACAAAUUCUUUGCAUUUGUACUGCUCGAGGUUAACUUAGUUAUAAGAUGAUACUCAUUGCAAAUGAAGUAGAAAUACAUGCAUUGUUCUUGUUCGUUGCUAACAACUAACUCUUCAAGUCAGAGACAUCACCACCCAUUAACUCAUGAACCAUUGCCAUCACCAUACUAUAGCAUACAAAAAUAAAAAUAAAAAUAAAAAUAAAAAUAAAAAUAAAAGAAGAAGAAGAAGAAGAAGAAGAUAAGACACUAGAUUGCCAAUAAAUCUAAGAAAAGAAACUUGCCUACAAUUUCUAUCAUCGUCUUCGGUAGACCUUCAUCAGUAGAUUAAAGGUGUUGCAGUAACCAAAUUCAUGCUUCUUCCUCUUCUACUUAAGUAGUUAAAUUCCUUGAAUUCCUUCCCUUUGAAGCCAUAGCAAAAAUUGAGCUUCGUAGCGUGAGGCUACUGCAUGUGAAAACUAUCGAACAUAGAGAAACUAGAUCACAAGAUAUUCCCCGACGAUGAAGAGUUGAAUCCGGAGAGAUCUGAUGUCCACCCACCACCGCCACUGCCACCGCCACUACCGCCGCCGCCGCCGCCGCCACCUCCUCCCCAGUAUUGGUCAUUUCCCGGAACACCCAAGUACUGUCGCGCUAAGCUUAGUCCCUGCGAGUUAUCUUCCAUUUUCACUGAAGCCAGUUGCGAGACAAGGCCAGAGCUUGAUAUCUUCGGAAGCACCUGAGUGCUGAAACCGUCAUUCCCGCCUUCUCCGUCGAAAGGAUAAAGUCCCGGAAUUGUGAGGGAUGGCGGGGCCUGCGGAGGUGGCGGCGGCUCCACCCCUCCCAAGAAAGGGAACUGCUGGAUUUGCUGGAGCCUCCAGUGCUCUAACCCGAGAGCCGAGCUGCUUCCGAUGUGAUAAUCUAUAGGUUCGAGCGGUUGGAUUCCGCUAAAGGCGAGCCCUAAGUUCGAUGCGCCGCCGGUGUACUCAGCUAGCGAGUGCAAACUGGCCAUGAAGGGCAGUUGUGUUGGCGGCGGUGGGAUGGUGGUUGGAAUGUUUGCACUGCCGCCGCCGCCGCCUGCAGCUGUGGAGGAAGAGGAGGACGUGCCGCUGAUAUGGCGGUCGGCAGCGGACGCCGAGGCGGAUUUCGAGGAGCCUCCAGAGGAGGACUUGCUCCGCUUGUUGCGUCGGCAACCGCCGCCAACGGGGACGUUGCGGAGGGUGCCUCCGCGGGUCCAGUAGCGGCGGCAGGUCUUGCAGAAGUAGCGUGGCUGCGAGAGGGAGUAGUUGUUGAAGUAGCAGAACUUGGUGUUGGUCGAGUCGCACCGCGGGCACUUGAGCGCCGGCUCCGGCUGGGGGAUCUUCGCGAGACGAGCACGGUCCGCCAUCGAGCCGGGCCGGGCAGGGCCGCCGGCCGCAGCUGCCAUGCUCGGGGCCUCAGGGCGUGGCGCGGCCUGCAGGCCCGGCGGGAGCGGGUGAGCUACGUCGGAAAGGCCGCCGCCGCCGCCGCCGCUUGCGCUCUGGUGCUGCUGGUGCGAUUGUUGCUGUAUUAGAAAAAUAUUCCACCAAAAAAGAAGAGGAUUGAAAUUAGUGGUAUAUUCAAGAAGAUUUAGGUAAAAGGGUAGGAAUAUCUUCUUCUUUUUUUUCCCACUCCUCCUUCCUUUUAAUUUGCUUUUUUGGUGAAGAAGAUAAAAAUAGGAGAAGAAGAGGAAAGGGAAGAAGUAGAAGAGGAGGAUGAGGAUGAGGAGAAGAGACUCACCUGGUUCCAGUUUGGUGGAUCUAAGUAGACUGGAACUGAAGAAAAAACCAUAGUGUUUUUCUUUUCUUCUUUCCCCUUAGCUUCUUCCUCUUUCUGAUUAGAUUCUUUAAGGGUUAUGGUGGAGAGAUGGUGGAGAAUCACAUCCAGAAGCAGUUCCUUUGAGAGAGAGAGAGAGAGAGAGAGAGAGAGAGAGAGAGAGAGAGAGAGAGAGAGAGAGAGAGAGUGUGUGAAGAGGAAAGGAGGGAUUUCUUCUUUUUAGCUCUUGGUGGCUUUUAUAUAAUAAAUGGUAGGGUUGGCUAAAUAGGUGAUGAGUGGAAGAAAUUCCUUAGCCUGGAAGGCUUUAACUAUUUAAGCUUCUAAAUAGUGUUGAGAGAGGAGCACUCCGGGAGCUUUAGUGGCAUCUCAUGAUCCUGGAAAAGUUGGAGAAUAGAAGAGAGGGGCAUGCAUGGAAACCCUAGCAAGUGUAUUAUUAUUAUUAUGUGAAGGGAAAGGGAAAAUACAUGAUAGUACAGAAAUAAUUAAAGCAAGGUUUAUAUGUAGGUAAAGAAGGGGAAAAGUUGGUUUUGUUGUAUAUCUGUAUGUAUGUCAAUUAAUUAUUUGUUUUGCAUGGAAUAAUAUGAAUGGAGAGUACAUGCAAUCCUGUGUAUAGGUUUUAAUUGAUAAAUUAAUCAUUUCUCUGUUUAAAAGUUUUUUUUCUCUUUACCAUGAGCAAGGCUCCGUCUACAAUUAAUCACUUUUCUCUUGUAAUCUUACAAUACUCAAAAAAAAGUAUAUAUUCAUAGAACUCUCUACUUAUAUUGACGUGGCGGGUUUUAUCAUAGUUAAAAAAAUAUUUUCCCACUAAAAUAGCCUCACAAUAAUUUACUUGUCGACAAACCGAUCGUCUCUAGAGCAAGUGGCAUGCAAAGGGCCAGCUUGAUGGUUGGUACCCGAGACCCAAGUUCGAAUCCUAGUUGAUUCACAUUUCCAGCUAAGUUUAUUUUUAAAUGAAAUAAACGAAACGGAUAGCAUGCUACCUAUGUCUAAAAAAAAAAAAAAUUUACUUCGACAAGUAAUGUGGCAAGUUUUACUAGUUUUAUUUGAUUAAAUAAGUACCUUUAUACUAGUUUUAAUUGAUUAAAUAAAGUACCUUUAUAUAUACUUAUGACUUGCAUCAAUUUUUUUAAUAGAGAAUUGCAUCAUUUGUGCGCCAAGCAUCUAAUUGAAGCUUUUAUUUCAGAAUAUUAAGAAACAUUUAUAGAAUGCAUGAGCAAAGUAUUACUUUUAAUAGCUGUCAAUUUUCUGUGAACAAAUUAUCCUUUUUGUGGAUUGCACUAAUUAACUAUUUAUUAUUAUUAUUAUUUUUAUAUCAGAAUGUUAAUUAGUAAUUUGUAGAAUGUAUUAAGCAAGUAUAUAUGUAAAACAAUACUCUAAUUUACCAUUUUAUUUAUAUUCUUUCUUUUUGUUUUUAAUCUGAUGCUCACUACUCUUUCUAGACUCUUUGGACGAUGAGAUGAUUCACUAGGAUAAUGCCUAUAAAAGUGGGGAGUAUUGUAUUGGUAGGUCACGAUCCUGGAAUAGAAUAGUUUGCAACAGCAGCUUUAUAUAUUAAUUUGGUUCAUGGAUUUGUCCAAAGGAAAAAUAACCUUAAUUGGAUUUUUAAAUUAUGCUUUCACAAACUGUAUAUAACACACCAAAGGGCAGUAUACAAAGUACAAAUGGCUCAAGCUAGGUUAUGAUUAAGUAGGGUUCUCGAUCCAAGGGUUGCUCCUUAACUGAGAAGCAAGCUGGAUGUGGAAAGGGGUUCUAUUUUAUUACUUCUAACACUAAAUGAUAACUAUACACUGAGAUGAUAAAAUCUUUCGUUCCUUGGGAACACAUUUUAUCAUCCGAUUGUACAUGAACUAAUUAGUCUUAAUUUAUUGUUUGGUCAUCUUUAAUGAACUUAAAACAUGACGAUGAGUACGAAUAUAACAAAUUAAAAUGUGGUGUGCAUGCAUUGUUACUUUACUUCAAUCAAGAAAUUGAUAUGAUAGUUAUUUAUACGCAUUAAAAAGCUAAAAUGUAUAGCAGGAGGUAUAAUGUGCAUCCAAAAAUAUACUAAACAACAAGACUGCAUGACAAUGACAGGGGUGGCAAUUCCGGAUUCGAACAAGGCACGAAAUCACUGAGUGUAAUCCCAAAUCAUCUUUAAUUUUCAAAACAAGAAAAAAAGAAUUAAUCAAAGAAAAAAUCCGAAUCAACAUAGUACAAACUUGUUUAUCUAAACAUAUAACACAAUAUGGCACAACCAUAGAGUAAUAAAGUGGUUGUUUUGAGUAUCUAAGUUAUAAAAACUUACGCAGAUCUAGUCUUAGAUUUUAAAGACAAAAUACACAAUGCUGAGUUGCCACCCCAAGACAGCGCCAAAAUUGAUGCAUAAGAUAAAUUAAGGUUUCUAGCAUCAGAUUCAGUUUCUUUACGUAGGACUUGUUAGUGUUUCUUUUAAAAAAAUUUCAAAAUUAUUUAUCACAUGUAUAUAUUAUCUGUUAGAAAUUCACAUCUUAGAAUAACCCCACAGGAGUAAUAGCAAGAGGAUUAGAGGACAUAGAAUACUGGCCAGUUCAAACCUAUACCAUGUAUUAAUUUGAGCUUCUAUUUUGAAUGAAUUACUAUUCUAAUAUAAAUUUGCCAUAUUCUUGGCCUGUGUAAGUCCUGUACUGGGGCUAAACUUCCUAACAACUAGUGUAAGAACCAACUAGCAAGGUCAUAGGUGUUGAGUAUGCCUCGAAUAGACCGACCGUCCCUAAGCGCAAGUAGCAAAGGGUUACAUAGUUGAUACCCGAAGUCACAAGUUCGAAUCCUAGUUGAUUCACAUUUACAACUAAGUUUAUUUCUAAAAAAAUAACCCAAGCGGCAAAAGUCUUGAUGGUUGGUAUCCAAGACCCAAGUUCGAAUCCUAGGUGAUUCACAUUUCUAGCUAAGUUUAUUUCUAAAUGAAAUAAACGAUGCGGAUAGCGUGCUUUCUAUUUCUCAAAAAAAAAAAAAAAAAAAAAUCCGAGAUUCCGUGUUUCCUUCAAUUUCAGACCACAACGCAUAUGUUCCCCCUUCGUCUCUCCGGUGAACACAACCAUNUAUAAUUCUCAGAUAAAAAAUUAACGUUUGGAUAAAAAAAAAAAAAAAAGGAGUAUGCCUCGAAUAGCAAUUUGGUGUAAUACAAAAAGAUUAUUAGAAAUUCACAUUCACAUAUAACAUUAAUAGUCUUCUGAGUUAUCUCAAAACAAAAAUAACAAUAGUCUUAUGAAUAAUAAUGAAAUGAUUGGUGAUUUGAUACAUUAAAGUUUACUUGAUCUAAACCUAUCGAGACUUGAACUUUUGGGACAAACAAGUUCUAGUGCAUUAAAACUCUGAAAGAUAAUCUCUCGUAAGCCUAUAAAAAGUCGGUAGAGAUUGGGAAUGCCAUAUAUCCAAUUCCUCAAUUAUUAGCCUAUUUCUUCUUAUUUUCUUUUUUAUUAUUUUCCUCUUUUGUCAAGCUUCUGAUAAAGUAAACCCAACGAGGUUUGAAAUUAGGCUUUAAUAUUUGAAAAUUCCUAAGUACAUACAUAUAAAUUUCUCCACUGAAAACCCAAUUAAAUGCAUGUAAGCAUGUUACAUGUGGUGCAUACACGAUUGAGCGAGUUCUUUUUUUGAGAAAUACAUACACGACUCCUAAAAAGCAAGUAGUAACAAACUUGUUCACGAUCUUGACUCGCGAGCGACCUGGUGCAUGCAUGAAGGGUCAAGUUAAUCAAAAUGACUGUUCUGUCGAUCGGGUUCAGUUGAGAUUGCCACCCCUAUUUAUAUUUAAUGAUCUGAGCUCGAUUUCAACGAAUAUAUUCGGUCGGUGAUGCUCCUGACCUAUCUGAUUCGACUAGACCACAUCUUUGAUGUUACUCUUAUGACAUAUAUAUAUAUAUGUAUCCAAGACAUAACUAAAACCUCACUCCCAUCACACAAAUUUGUUAAUUAGACUUCUUAUCUAUCAUUCGAUCCCCUCCAAAGAUUAAGUUUCAUAUAUAUCCCGCAUGUUAAUUAAGGCCAAUUGAAUUGAAUAAUUGAUACAACGACGCAUGUACAUAUUUAUGGUUCUAAAUUUGUGGUAAGGGAUUAGUAAGUGGACCACAAUUGAGGCUGACGCAGGUGUAUUGAAUCACCUCUUCUGGGCUAACACAAAAAGCUAAGAGAGACACAUUGGAGGACCACAAUUGCAACAGUCACUGUCAAUAUCGGCUGUAAAGGAUGGGAAUCAUAUGUAUCAUCAUGUUCAUCAUGACAGUAAAUUAUAUCAGAUAAUACAAAAACUUUUUAACACAUGGCUUUCUUUUUGGGUCUGUUAGGGUAGUAACACAAGUUAUCUAGUAAUAGGGCUGACAACGAGCCGAACACGAGCGAGCUGCUGGAGCCAAUUAACUCGUGCUCGAUCGGUUGGACUCCUUAAUAAGCCAAACACGAGCUAGCUUGAAUAAAUUGCGAGCCGAUCACAAGUUGGGCUUUUCGAGCUUGUAACAAGCUCCAACCAAAUACAAGCGAUUGAUGCUUCCAACCUUUUGACUCUUGGAUUGAAGCUUUUGGUUUAAUGUACGUGGUUUAAUGUGGGCCCCCUAUUAUGCAUCAUCCAAGGUGCAAAAGAAUUGAUCCAGAGGCCAAAAUGUUGAAAAUCCAAGGAGUUGGCCCUUCCGGAAGCCACAUGUGCACAUAUAUACAUAUAAAAUAAUAUAUAUAUAUAUAUAUAUAUAUAUAUAUAUAUAUAUUCUAAGUACCCAUCAAACUUUAUGUGUGGUUAGAAAGUUAAGAGCACAAGAACUACUGUGCUCCUAAUAGCACAAUAACCCUACUCUAUAUAUAUAUAAUAUUCAAGUUAAUACGAGCAAGCUGAGCCAAGCUUAUAUUUGGCUCAUUUAAACAAGUGAUUUUAUCUUGAGCCCAUUUUGAAUCAACCAUAAACUGGCUCACGAAUAGUAAACUGGAUUGCCAGCCAUGAACUAUUAAUAAUUUGUACGAUAGAAGCAUAUAAUUUUUACAACAAUGAUUCUGCUUAUUAUGUAAGUUAUCCUCUUUUUUUAAAAAAAAGAACACAUAAGAACUACAUAAUUUUUCGUGCUCACCAAUUUAAAUAUCACAUGCAUGAUCUUUGAGUAAGCACAAAAAAAAUGUUGAAAAAUUAUGUCCAACCACGUUAACAUACAUUAUUUUUUGAGAAAAAAACAUGCAUAUCUUAUGAAACUAAAAGAUUACUGUUUAUUUGAUUUUAUAUAUGAUAUUGAAACACAUUUGAUUGAUGUGUGAUUAUAUAGCUUUCAGAUGUACUGCACAAGAUUGCAGGGCACUAUUGAAGAUUUUCUUGUCAUGCAUGAACUUGCAUUAAUUUUGAAUCCCUCUUUAGCGCUUCUUAAUUAAUUAGUUUUAUCAGUUUGUGUUGUUUAACCUUACUUAGCUCUUGUUUGGAACAUCAUUGAAUAGGGGAAAAUAAAAAGUUUAAUACUUAUAUAUGUUAGGAAUAAUAGCCUCAUAUUGGAAAUUAAAUCGUGUAUUAAUCUGUAUAUAAUAUAUAGGGUACUUUCAUUUUCUUCAGUUUUUCGAUUGGGACUAAACCCUUUAACAAUAUAUAUAUAUAACAAUAUAUAUAUAUAUAUAUAUAUAUAUAUAUAUAUAUAUAUAUAUAUAUAUAUAUAUAGGAAUAAUACAAAAUUGAUUAGAAAAAUUACACAAAAUAUUUUUGCUCGUGUGGACAAAAAAUCUAACAAAUCAUUCAACAUGUACGAAACAGUAAUAGUAUAAUUAUAUUACUCAAAAAAUCAAUCUGAUUAAAAAAAGAACGAGAUAAGAAUAAAAAAAAAAGAAAAAACUAUCAACUCGAAUUUGAUUUGCACAAAACGAACAAAAGUUCGACUAUUCGUGGACUAAGCUAAGAACUCCACCCAGAAACUGUCUAACUUACAAGGCAUCGAGAAAAGAUAUAAAUAGAUUCAUUCCAUCAACAUCAACCAACACUGUUCAUUGAUAGCUGCUUCAAGAAUUGUGCAGGUCCACAUCAAACGCGUCACCAUCGCUAAAUUCCAAAAACAUUCCACGGGAUCAGAGACCUGUUCAAAAAACAAAAAAGAAAAAAAAAAAAAAACACUCCGAGGAAUCGCAAUCGCCAAAAUUAAAUGCAUGUACAUGUUGGGCCAAUAAAUAUAUUAGAGAAUAUAUAUAUAUUAUAUAUACAUACGCACUAACUAAUUAGAUUGAUGUGGGUGACGAAGUGUAACUGUAAAAGAUAAUCCUCGACCACAAUAAUUGUAAUUAAUUAAUCAUUGUUUAGAAAUGCAUUUUUUAGUUAAACUGUUUAUGAUUAGACUAAAAGGCUCACUUUAAAAAGUAGGUUUGAAAUUAAUGUCUAAGAAAAGUUUUUUUUUUUUUUGAAAAUUAAGUAGCAUACUAUCCGUUUCGUUUAUUUUAUUUAAAAAUAAACAUAGCUAGAAAUGUCUAAGAAAAGUUAUUUGAGAAAUUGUUAUACUGCUGUAGCCCUCGAGCUUUCGAAGCGUUACAAUUUGGUCCGUGACUUAGCUGUUGUUACAGUUUUAGUGUGGACCGCUUCGUUCGCAUUUGGAGAGCCAAAAUGGUUAAAAGAUUGUCAUGUUGACUCCACUUUGGGACCAAAGUUGACCUCGGGUCAACAGGUAGAAUUAUUUAUUUACUAUUUAUUUUUUUAAUUAUGAAUUUUUUUUAGUUAUAAAUACUAGUUGUUUUGAGUUAUUAUAGUAUAAAAUAAAAACAUAAUUUGUAUAUUAAUUAUUUUUAGUUAGUUGUUCUUCGUUAUCACAGUUCUUUAAUGUGGUCAAUAAUUAUUGCUUUAUUUUUUUUUUCUAUCUUUGUUGGCUAUUGGCACAUGGACAUUAUCAUAAUUUAUCAAUCAGCAUUAAACAGAAAAAUAUUUUUUUAAAAAAAAAAGAAUUUGAAUUGAUGUAUUUCUACGCAUUGAUUGAUGACUGAUUUUAAAAUUCAUAUGUUUUUCAAUUUCAUUUUUCCUUAAAGUUUGGUUAAAUUUAUACAUUCCAUAAGUUUAAAUUUUUUUCAGGCUUUGUUAGUCACUUAAUUAGUUGGUCUUCGUUUUAAACAUGUCACUCUUGUUCUCGAUAAAGGGAAUUUGUUGGACAUGUAUCAAAAGGUUUGUGGGCCUUAGUGAAUUGGGCCCGAUCCGGCCCAACCUGACUUGUAACCUGAUCUGCUUGUUUUAUGGAUCAGAUCGCGCCUGGUCCGAUCCACUGAAUCGGAAUAAAGAUCCAACACGAUUCGAGCCGCACACGGGCUUUAUCGUUUAGUUGGUUGAUCCGUUAUAAAUGGACCGUGCCGGAUUGGAACACGCAGAUAUCAAACUACAAAAGCCACCAAAUUUGGUUCACUACAUUGUUUUAUAAGAGAUGGAAUCUGAGUUUUUUUUUUAAAAAAAAAAAGAAACCAAAAGAGAGAAAAUCAUUGGUAUCUCCAACUAUACCAUCAGGUGUAGUUUCAUAAAAAAGUUCUCCAUAUCUUUUAAUCCACAUCCAUAUCUGUCCCCUGAUGACAUUUUUCAUUUAUUGCCAUAAAAUCAUCAUAAUUUUACUGUUCUUUCUUUUGGGUCAAAAUAGAAAAGUAGUAAUGCACAAGUAAGGAGCUUGAAAGUGAAUACACCUUUUCUUUCCUAAAGUUCAAACUUUAGUGAAGAACAUUUCAGAUAAUACCUUUAUUACGAAAGCUUAUACUUUAUCCAAAUUAUCUCUUUCAUAAUCUUCAAUUUUUGACUUAGUUUACUAUACCAUAUAACACUCCGUUUUUGGUUGAAACGAGAGGAGUUUGGUCCUUUUCUCAGUAUGCAAGAGCAGUUGAGAUGUUUUUGUCAUAACAGUCGAAGUUAUUCUCAGCAUCUGAAACAAAAAUUAGUUUCCCUGUGCUCAAAUUUAUUAGUGUGAAAGGGUUUGACCACAUGCACAUACAUUUAUGAAAGACAUUCACAUACUUAUCCAUGAAUUUGAUUGGUGUCAUUCACCCUGUUCUUUGACUCUACUUGUCCUUAAUUUGUUACAGACAUAUUGCAGAUUAUCUGUGGAUUAGUAGUUGUUCUACAGAACAUGCAUGAAGUUCACCUGCACACUGACAUGGAAAGGAGUUACAGAAAUCCUAACCUACUAUUCAAAACUAUAUAUGAUUAUCUAAGAUCAUAGAUGAAAAAUUAGCAUCUUCCAAUAUAAAUUAUCACUCUAUUAACUUAUUUUAACAUCCAAGUAAGCCUUUUAUUAGGAGGCUAGGAAAGUUAAGGCAAUGUAAAAGGUAAAGGUGAACAUGAGGAUAAGAUAUAUAUAUAUUUUUUACAGUAGUUUCUGACUUGGAAGGACAGUUUGCUACUAGCUGGUGGGAUCAAAUUGUCCUAUAAUAGAUUAGGUCCAAAAGCAAAGAUGCUUGUUGUGUUUAUAGAGGCCAUGGCUUCACAUGAGUCCAACUACAAAAGUGCACUAAAAAAGAAUCCCAAAAUUUUAUGUAUUUCCCCCUUAACAUUGUAUUAUACUCUGAGCUCCUUAAAUCAUGGUUGGCACAUAAGAUUACCCAAAAAGAAGUGUAGGGGUUAUUGUGAAAAGCGGGUUCUAUCUUUUCCCGCUUGUUUGCAUAUCAAAAUGAGUUAUUUGAUGAUAACUUGUACAGUACAACCGCUUUCUUUGUGAUAGAAAGCUAGAGCUUCACAUUUAUCAUAUUCAUAUAGAACGGAUUUAAAGACCUUAUGUAUUAUUCUCUUGUAGAAAUCUUUUAGUAUCCCCAUCAGCGGAUUACCACAUACGUACCGAGUAGACGGAGAGAUGCUGAGCAAGAUAUCCAUGCGUGAAGAUAGGCCGACAGUAGGAUAUUAGUGUCAGUUGAUAGACGCCAUUUAAUAUUUGUCAAUUAGGGAAAAGACUAAGUAAUCAUCAUUCAAAUCCACUAAUAUAUUUUUGUGGUUGUCUUAUUGUUAUUUGUUACUGCAUUUGGCCCUAAUCAGAGCUAUAAACCCCCACAAAAUCUGCCUUAUUUUGGGGCCAGUGAUGACUAAUACCCUUCUUUGCCUUUUUAAAAAAAUUUUAAAAAAUUUUUUUUGCUAUAUAAGCUUUCAAAAGAACUACUUCUAUGAAAGAAAAGAAUCAAAUUUUGAACUCAAACUACCAAAGAUGUAAGAAAAUGGACACUGUCACAUUCCUUAUUGAAAAUUCAUAUACAAAAUUGAAUUAUCUUAAGUCCAAAUAUUGAAGCCCCAUAAAUUUAAUAAGGAAGUGCGAUUCACAAUUAAGUUGAAGUGAUUCUACUAGAUUUGGACCCAUUUAACAACACUCAAUCAUCUCCACAUUUAAUAGACUUACUUUGGCUUGUCUUAUGCUAAAAGCAUUGUGUUUGUAGAGCAUAUCUUUUCACCAAUGGAGCAAUUAUUGUGGGUAGGAGAGAGCAUUCAUCAAUAUGUUAUGCAUGUCAUGUACUCACCUACCAUCCCAUGAACAUACUUUGAAAGAUUUGGUUAGGACAAACAUGCAAUAAAAAUAUUUAUCAAACUAUAUAAACUAAUUAAUGCUCUUAUUGUAAGCAUAUAAGUAAGCAUCAUCAAAUUCCAAUUGAAUAAAAGUGGAUUUAUUUAGAAUUGGGCCCACCAUGGAUUCAUAUUAGGGCAAUAUUUUAGCGUGUUUAAUCCGUCAUUUGAUGUGCAUUUAAUUUGAAAACUAUCUUAUGAUUGAUCUUGUUAGUAGUAGAACUCAUUUGGUUACCACAAAUUAUCACUAGAACACACUUUUAUGAUCUCUUUUUCACCGAGGUAAAUAUAUCGAACCGGAUAUGAAGUAUUUUCCUUCAAUUUUUGGGUCAUUUGUGGGCUCACAAAUUAAUUGCUUCCUCAAUUUUAAACCAAAUAUGAAGAUAAUUGGAGGAGAAAUUUGACUAGGCAGGCAAGUAUUGCCUACAUAGCAAGUUGCUUAUUAAUAUCACAUUCUAGUAUUAGCCUACCACCCUUGUGUAUAACAAAGUGCACUACCAAUUCCUUCUAUUUCUUUUUUCCAAAAUAAUAUGAUCUCUUGAUUCCAAACAAUGUUUUUUAUUGAUCUAUAUAUGCUUGCAAAUUACAAUGAUUUUGUAACAACAAGAGAGUGCGAAACUAACUACUACAGGAGUAAACCUAAAAGAAUUUCUGAAACCCAAAAGUAGUAUCUUCGAAGUUGUGUGUUUUCAUAUAUUGGUUUAGAACGAAGCUGUCGCAGAAUUGCUGAAACCAAAAAUUUUGUAAAAAUAAUAAUAGUUAUACUCCAAUAAUGCAUGUGGAAGCACUUGCCAGGUGAAACAGGGCAAGGCCCUAUACUUUCCUAUUACACAGGACUAUUGGUACAAACAUUGCUAUUUUUUUUGCUUACAGAACAGUGGUAAAUAAUGCUAAGAUUAAGCAUGCCUAAACAACAACACAUCAUUGAUUCCAUGUGGGCUUUUAUUUUAUUUUAUUUUAUUUCAUAUUUGGUGGUAAAGCAUCAAUACAACUUGUUUAGCAGUAAUAUGAUUUAAGUAUAAAUCAAAAAUGGGGGAAAUGAUUAACUUGUGGUUAAAAGGAGAGGGAAAGCAAAGGGGUUUGAUGAACUGUGUCUCAAAAGUGAUGGAAAGAGUGGUGCAAAUCCCCUGCUCCUAAAAAGAAACACAUUGCCACAUCUUUUGACAAAUGGGGGGAGGGAUCACUCACAUGAAUAAUUACAGGCUCGGGCACUCAAGGACAAGCAAGUUGGGAGAGGAUACAGCUUUUUCCUGAUAAUUUAGCAGUAGACACCACACCCCCUCUUAAUUAAAAGAGUAAAAACAAAAGAAAUUUACAAAUCAGGACAAUCUCCUCUGCUCUGAUAAAAAGGAAUGAUGGUUUGCAGUUGCUCCAACAGCAUAUGUACAUCAGAGCUGCCUCUUUUUCUUUUUUAUUUUUUUUUUUUUUUUUUUUUUUUUUUUUCAAUUCCCUCUUUGUGAAACAGGAAAAAUUAAGAAUACUGGAAAAGCUCAAGAGGGUUUCUGAAUUAACUUAAGUGAAAGUUCAAGUGGCUAAAAACUCCGGAGAUGUGCCCACAUCUUCAAUCCUUUGAGCCCGUGUGGGAAAUGGAUUUUCCCAUUUUUGUGGUCGUUCUAAUCUUUGAUGGCGAAGAAGGUAAAGGGAGCACCUGUGAGGAGCUUGAAUGGUGGUAGUGGUGUUGGUGUUGUUGGUGUUGGUGCCCUCUCUCUCUGUUUUUCCCGAUAACUAUGGUGAUAAAAGAAGCAUCUUCCUCCUCCCUCCCCAGUGGCGAAGGGAGAGAAACCACAGAGGAGGCCUCUUGCUUCAAGGCUUGCUCCAUUAACGUCCUCCUGUAGAGCUUCUCCUCUGCAUCCUUCAAAAACUGGAACUUUGGAGGGGGAGAGGAGGACUCGAAGAGUGGGUUGAACCCGUGCUGUUUGUAGGAGUCGAGCGGGGUUAAUGGUGGGGUGAAGAAGGGCGGGGAGGAGAGGGGGGUCAAAAAUGGCGUCUCCGCGGAGUGGAGGAGCUCACUCAGGCUCUUCCCUCCCUUGCGGCUUCUCCCGCCUCUGGACCUCCCAUCCUCGCUCUCCAAAUCCUCCUUGGUCUCCUCCUUAAUGGUGAAGAGGAACCUCGGCGGCCCCGCGAGGCCAUGGAGCCUCAUGAGCUCUGCUUCCACGCUCUCCUCCCCUGCCCCGCCGUAUGAUUUUAGAGCGAGGUGGAGUUGGGCCUCGUUAGAACGCUCUGUUCCGUUCGCUGAUGGGUGGUGGUGGAUCUCUUGAGGGUUGAGAGCCGUGGAGGUUAAAGACGAGGGCUUUUUCCAGAAGCAGAGGUGGAGAAGCGCUUCCGCGGGAGUAGCGUGGGUGUCCUCCGUAUCUCUAUUGGAUCUUCGCUUCUUCCACCAGAACAAGUAGUAGAGCUCCGCCAUGAGAGCUAAGAAGAGGAAGCUCGAUACCAGAGUUAACCCAACUCCCAAACUGCUUAAAGAUCCCAUCUUUAUCUCCUUCCCAGAUCAAAAUUCCAAAAAAAAAAAACAAAAAAAAAACAAAAACCCACCAAUUUUCUGGGAAAAUAACUAGGAAAACAAACACACACACACACACACACACACACACACACACACAAAAAGAAAAGAAAAAAGAGUGAAAUUACACCUGGAGUGAUAAAAAUCUCAUCUUUGAGAGCAAAACACCAUGGGUGCGAUAGCUUGUAUCGGCUUUGUGGCUUCUGCUGCAGGAAGAAGCGCUUCUGGAAUGAGUGGUGGGUAUUAAGCUGGGGUAGGAGGGGGAAGCUAUAAGACCCUCGUGGGCAUCGAUCUAUCUAUCUCAUCUAUCUAUCUAUCUAUCGAUCUCUCUAUGUAAUGAUUCUAAUCCCGCGAGUGUGUUUUGGUUUUGUGUUUUUUGUAUGGUUGACAAGUUUGUGUCCCUCGAGAGCGGCUCACAUGGGCGUGGAAAGAGAGAGAGAGAGAGAGAGAGAGAGAUUGAAAGGGGUGGCGUCGUUUCUAUCAAAGCCAAUGAACCCAAAAACUCACAAACUAGUAACUCCCCCAACAACUAACUUUCAAUACUCGCUCAAGAUACCCACCAUCUCUAAUGCAAAUGACAAAAAAUUUAAUAAUUAAUAUUUAUAUUUUUAAAUUUAAAAUUUAGUUAAAAUUGUAAAAAAAUAAGUUUGCGUGAAAAGAUUUUUGGUGGAAAAAAAAGUUUACGUUUUGUAUUGUUUAGUUUAUAAAAAAUAUAAAUAAAUUUUUAUUGAUGUUUAUUUGGUAGAAAUAAAAAAAAUCUACGUUUGUUCGGUUCAGUUGAAAAAAAUAAAUGUAAAAAAAUUUUAAGCAGUUUGAGUUUUUAUUUUUAUUUGAAAAUUGGUAAAAAACGAAAAUACUUUCUUUUUCUCAAAUUUGUAAAAGUAGCUUUUUGGAAAAAAAAAAUACGACUAAACAAACGAAAAAUGAUUUUUCAAACCAAAAAAUAAUUUGCCAAUCAAACAUAUAAAUAAAAUAUAAGUAAAGUAUAUAAAUAGGACAUAUUUUUUAUCGUGUUUUCUUUUUUUUACCAUACUUAACUCAAUCUACCCCUGAUCCAACACGGAGCCUUAGGCUUGUUUUGAGAUCACAAACAAAUUACAUUACACAUAAAAAUAAAAGCUGAUAAUAAGUAUUUUUUAUGUCGUGCAAAUAAUAUUAGUUUUUGUAAAAUAUAAAAUAAAAUAGCAAACUAGCAACUCUUAAUUGUUUUGGCUCAAUAACAGUAUAUAAUCAUCGGUAUCAAAAUUUUGAGAUAAUGAAACAUUUUUGAACUCUUAAUAUUGUUGGAGAUGAGUCAAGAUUAAAUGAGUAGAAUUCAACAAUGUGGAAAACAAAUUUUGAUAAAUUUUGUGAUUAAUGGUGGCUUUUAUCCUAACCCGUGUAAAUUUCAAUAUGAUUGCAAGUUAUUAUUUAAAAUAUAAACAUUUAAAAGUUACUAUAAAAUUUUCGAAUUAUUUCACUAUUAAUUUUAUGCUAAGAGUUGAAGUUUCAAAUCUCUUCUUAAUAAAGUUUGCAAAACUUAGUAAUUAGAAAAAUUAGAUCAAAUGAUUGAUUGGCACAAACUAAAUUUUUGCAUAACAAGUUUAGUUAAUAAAUGCUAUAUUCGAAUGACGAUUUGUAAAUGGAUCAAAUCCAGGUGAAUCUUAUUUAUUUAUUUAUUUAAGCAUAGCUUUUUAAAGUUAGAAUAGAAUAAAAUAUUAUAAAGUUUUUACAGCAAUGAAGCUUCUGUAUAAUUUUAUCCAUCAAUUACACUAUACCUUUACUCGAUCUCCACCGUCCAAUAAUAAGAAUCUGCCUCGAUCAUCCGUUAAUUCGAUAAGAAUCAUUUACUCAAUGCGUGGACUUUGAGAUUCCCACGGAAUAGAUACCGCUUGCGCGUUAUAAACGCACUGAAACUUUGGUUGCGAAUCCAACGUUAUCAUAGCACUGAGCCAAUUAGAGAUUGACACGUGCUCGCGGUAGUUUAAAUCUAACGGUCAACAAUUGCAUAUGUUCUUAAUUUUUUUUUUUUUUAAGAGAAACAAAUCAACAUUCAAAAAGGUGAACUAAAUAGUAUUGAAAAAUAUAUUCUAAUAAAUUAGAGAUAAGUACUGAUGCGGAUGUACAAAUUCAUUAACCCCGAGUGAGAUUUUGACGAAAGGGUGAUUAACUGUUCCAAAUUGAGUAAGAAAAUUAGCGGUUCAGAAGUAUAACGACCAACCAACUGAAGAUUCACGAGAUCACGAAUAAUUUAAAGAGAACGGGAGGAGCCGCGAGUCAUAUGAAGAGGCCAGCAAAGCGUCACAGACCUUCGACUAGAGAAAGAGCACCACAAUGAGUGGCAUAGAAAAAGAUAAACAUACAUAGCUUACAGAGACUUAUCGGUCUUGUGGGAUCAAUGCAUGAAAAAAGAGACGGUGAUAGAAAAUAGAGGAUAGCGAUAAAAUGCAAUAGGCGAGAGAGGAGGAGGUCAGCCCCUCCUUGACUAGCUGUGGUCGUUGCCGGAAAGAGGCGGGAAAGUGAAGAGAUGACGCAGUAGGAGGUUAUAGUCAAUAAUUAAAUUCUAUAUAAGAUAAUGAAUAUGAGAAAAAAAAAAUUUAUAUUCAGUUUCUUUCAAAUAGGCUAGUAAUCAAAGCAAUCAAAUUUAAUAGAAUUAUCGAUAAAUUUGAUAAAAAUUUUAUUUAUCUGACUAAAAUUAUUUAAAUUUAAAAAAAAAAUUAAAAAAUAAACAGUUACAAAAAAAAAAAUUUAAAGUAUGUGAAGGGGGGGGCAACAUUUCAAAAUAGCCUAUUUAUUUAUAUAGUUAAGGGGUUUAAUUGUCCAACGGGCGUACUUGGAUCCCUAAUGAAUUCAAAAUUUAAACAUGGUCACAACAUUUUGAAACCAUGGCAUUGUCACUUUAUUUCAAUUUGGGGGGCAAAUUUGUCAAAGCGAAGGAACACAUGUUUGGAUCUUAGUGGGAGGAAAGAAACAAGUCAAAAAGAGCCAUAAAUUACUCCACCUGAUCUUCAACACUUCUCUAAUUGUUUAUCCAGGGUGGUUCUCUUUGGAUAAGUUUUAUUAAACACUAUAUUUAGCAUGGUUUGAAUUUUAGGACGUGUUCAUAUUGGUUGUUGAUCAAUUUUCUGAAGUUGUUGGGCGCAUUGACUUGGUUUAUUAGCAUAUUUGCUUUGCGCGUUCUUAUUUUUCUCUAAGUGGACCAUAAAAUUUACUAUCUGUUUUGUUCGAUUUUUGUUUCUGUAUUCAACAACAGUUAUAUCAAAGUGAAACAUCUGACAAAUAAAGAAAUCUGAUAUUUUUCUAUAUAUAGCUAGCUAGUAAGAAUUAUAAGUAAGAUUUUGAGAUUUAUAAACAAAAGUUUUGAUUCGGUUCUUCUAUCUCUGUUACACAAAAUAUUUGAUGGGAAGAUUCCGCCCAUGGCAUUACAUUGAGAAUUUCUUUUGAAAAGAUUACCGCUUCGGCUCAAAUGAAGCUUCCACAGAAUAGAUAGUUGGUGCAACUACUUUUCAAAAAGCCGGCCUAUUAAAUAUAAAAUUAUAUAAACACCGUUUUUUAACAGCUUAAGCUUUUAGAGUACAACGAUUGUUUCACAUGGUAUCAGAGUAAGAGAUCCCGAGUUUAAGUCAUGCCAGGCUCCAGCAUAAUUAAUUUCCUCCCAUUUAAUUCAAGUCUACGUCAUGGGCCUUAUAAAAAGUCUCAAGCCCAGACGUGAGGAGGAGUAUUACAUAUCUUACAGCUUAAAUUUUUAGAAUACAAUGAUUAAGUUUUUAGAGUACAACGGUUGUUUCAUAUGGUAUCAGCGUAGAAGGUUCUGAGUUCAAGUCAUGUCAAGCCCCCACCAUAAUUAAUUUCCUUCAUUUUAAUUCAAAUUCACGUCAUGGGUCUUGCAAAAAGUCUCGAGCCCAGAUACGAGGAGAGGUGUUAAAUAUAAAAUUAUAUAAACUCCGUUCUCUAACAGCUUAAGCUUUUAGAGUAGAACGAUUGUUUCAUAAAGCCAACACUAUUAAAAGACUCGAAAUUUAUUUUUGAUAAUUAAGACGUUUAACUUCUAUCUCCCGUGUAAACAAGAGAAAUUAUAUAUAUGGAAAGGUGAAUCUAAAGUACACUGGAGCAACACGCUUAGAAGAAACAUCAGACAAAAUGCUGCAACACUGGGGCAAUUUGUGGAGGGUGACACUACAGUGCCCUCAUAUAUAAAGGUGGCAUGAUCAUGUGAGGUUAAAGACUCACAAACAAGGCAAAAACCCUCAUGUGAGGUUGAUUGGGCCCAGGAUAGCAACAGCUACAUUAGGACCACACGCACACAGAAAAAUAAAAGGCUAAAUAAGAGACACCCCCCCCAAGAGAAUAAAUGUUUCCAGGUCACAAUUGAGAAGGACCUUGUUGUGUGCAAUCCAAUACUGCAGUUAUAGGAAAAUCUGUACAUCUGUCGGAUGUCGAACAGUGAGAAGAAUCGAGAAAGAGAGAAGAGAGUAAAUCGAUCACAUAAGCAAUUUAUACACUUCAAAUGCCGAUAUGUAUUAACGGGCGAAAAUCGAGCGAAAAAAUUUCAAUAUAAUAUAAUUGCUUAUUUUGUUGAGAGCUACAAAGGGCCCUUGGGGGGUAUAUAUCCUUGAUCAUUACUCAUUUCAUCAUAUCUCACACUGAUUCAUUUAAUAUGGUGCAUUACAGAUAGGUGGGGCCUGAGCUCACCAAACUACAUGCAAACAUCAUAAGGACUUCAUGCAUAAGAUUCAAGAGCAAUAUUGAGCACAAUAAAUGAUACCAUCAUUGAAACUUGUAUUAUUAGUAUAUAUAUGUAAGCCUCAUUUAGCUCCCAAUGUUGCAGCACAUGUACAGUUCCAACUAGUUUAUUUGCAAUAUUAAAUGGCUUAAAAUCACGUAAAUAUAUACAAAAAAGAACGAAAAGAUUUUUACUUCUCGGGGUAAAAACCCCUGGUUAAUUUCCAUGCAUGAUCUAUCUUUAUAAAGAUCUGAAAUUUGUGAUGCGUACGUGUUUAAGCUACUAGGUAAAAUGAAAUUAUAUUUCUUGCAAUUAAUGUCAACCCUGAGUUUUUUUUAAUUUAUUAUCUAAUAUCUCUCUUGCAUGUUAUAUAAUUGUAUUUUGAAUGAGAAUUGUUUCCGGGGAGGACAUUACAAGAAAUUAUAUUUCGUAAAUUUUAAAGGGGGAGUUGCUUAUCUAUCCUUGAAAAUUUUUCGACUUUCUAAUUUAUAACUCUUAGAAAGCUAAUAUUAAAAAUAUUCUUUUAUUGUUCUAAGUUAUUUCAAAUAUAUCUCUAGAGUUAAAUUUUGUUAAUUUAUUGUUAGCAACAACCGUUAUCUCUGUAAAAUUACUAUUUUACCCUUUCAAAUAUAUCUUUCUAUCGUCACCUACUUUUCUUAUUUGUCUUUAAUAUAGGAACAAAAGAAGUAUUUUAAUUUUUUUUAUCUUUUCAAACAUACCUUUCUACCAGCACCAAAUUUUUUAUUUAUUCUUAAGUUAAAAAUAAAAGAGGUAAUUUUAUUUUUUUUUUAACUCAGGUAAAAUUUUGAGCCGGUUUUAACAUGAGAUAACUUAUCAGGUACUAACAACGGAAGUAUUUUUUGAAUAACGGGGAGCUAUAUUAGAGGUAUAUUUGAAACAAAAAAGAAAACAGGGAUAAAUUAGAUUUGUCAUAAGUUUUUCAGAGGCAUAUUAGAUAUUAUCCCAAUUUUAAAUAAGUCUAAGCAAAAUAUAAAGGACCAAAUUGCGAACGAUCAAAAGUUCAAGGAUUGCCUAUCAUUAAAAUGGGACCAAUGGACCUGAAAUUCGAAUGUAGCCCAUAGGGCCCAAACCAUCUUGGACUCAAAUCAUCGUAGACCAGGCCCAUUCCGGCCCAUAGACCCCAAGGAGUUUCACGAGCCUAGACCCGGCCCAAGCCAAUCAUUGGUGGAACUCGUCGGCAUCAUAACGCGUUUGGGGAGGGGUCGAAGCGAUCGAUCGAAGCAAACGUUUUUUCCGCGGAAAAAAAAAAAAGUAAAUAAAAAAGGAUUAGGGCGACGAAGAAGAAGAGCAUCUCUCUUCGAUCUUUUCGAUCUCUUCGAUUCAACCCCCCCGAUCGAAUUCCUCCGUGUGAGAUCGCCACGAUGAGUUUCCUCUUCGGGAAGAAGAAGACCCCUGCGGGUACCAAUUUCUCCCCUUAAUCCUCUCCUAUUUUGGAUCUAGUUCGAAUUUUUUCACCAAUAUCUGACGAAUCGGUUCAUGUUCUUCGAUUAUUCAUGUGUUUUUUGUUGAAAUCAUGCUAAAAAGGACGCAUUUUUUGUGUGAAUUUUGUGUUGUGGCUAUAGAUACCCCCUCAAAUUAUAGGCCAAUUUUGAGUAGAUCUCCUCAAGUAUUUAACUUUGGAUCGAUAUCCCCUAAUUUUUUUUUAUUUUUAAUUUAAAUUAAUUGAAUAAAUUGGAAAUUUUAUUGUAGUUAGUGAUGAUCAUGUUAAAUUUAACUGAUAUGAACACUUUUUUAGCUGAUAAAUCUGUGAAUUUUAUCAACUGUUAACUGCUGAUAGCUAUCAGGUCAGUUAAUUCUAAUGAAUCGCCAAUUCAGUUUAGGAAGAUAAUUCAAAUCAAAGCAAUUAAAAGUUGAGGAGUGUCGAUCAAAAGAAGUAAAUUUGAAGAGUCUAUUUCGAAAUUUACUACGGUCGAUGGUGUCUUCAACUCUUCAUAUAUUUUAACCUAAUUUUUGUGAAUAUUUGUAGCGUGUAUUGGAAUUUUAUGCGGAUGUUGUGUUUAUUCGCAGAGUUACUGAGAGAGAACAAGAGAAUGUUGGAUAAAUCUAUCAGGGAAAUAGAAAGGGAGAGGCAAGGUCUUCAAGCCCAGGAAAAGAAGCUUAUUGCGGAGAUUAAGAAAACUGCUAAACAGGGCCAGAUGGUAUAUAUGCUAAUCAUUAAAAUUUUCAAUGAUUUAUAUGAUAAUAUUGAUCAUUUGGGUACUGGAUUAGUUGCUUAAGUAUCAAUCGCAGCAUUCCUAUUGUGCAUUUGGCAUUUGCUAUUCAUAUUAUGCUUCCUUGUGUUAUUAAUUUUGUUAUCUGACAUGCUGAAUAGUUCUGAAUUAGCUUUAUCCUUCGAUUUAUGUUAGGAUUUAUAAUUUUAUGCUUGUUUUAUUCAUGAUUGUACAUUUCACAUGCUAAUGAUCUAUAAAGUUGGAUUGAAUUGCCUAGAUUUAACAUUUGCCUCUUUAUUUCGGGAGCAGUGAUAGUCUAGGUACAUUUUGGGAGUAUAUAUUCAAUAAUUGGUUACCAAACAAGGCUGAUUCAGGCUACAUACUUUCAUUCCUAUUAUUUGGAUUUUAGUAUAAUUGUGUGACUUAGCUCUCUUUGUACAAAUGCAGAUAAGUAGCUAAGUAGUUGCAUUUUGUUACUUGGAUUAGUUAUUUCUUGACAUGUAAUCCAUACAGCAACCUUCUAUUGAUAUAUGUGCCUUGCUACUUUUUGAGCAUGACAAGAGGAUCCGAGCAGCAUAACUGAAUAGUCUUUAAAUCUUAUUGUUGACAGUUUAGCCUCAUGUUACAGAGAAAGAAGCCUUUGAAGAAACCUAAAAGCCUCGAAAUAGUCUAGGAGAAGAAGAGUGACUCUAAGUCUCUUUAAUUCUCUGAUUAGUCCAAAGAACCUCAUUUUCGAAUUUCUACUGCAAUGUACUUUGUUGCUUCAUUAUGGCAGACGGUUAGGAACUUAUUUCAGUAACACUGGAAAUUUCCAUCCUAGACCGAAAGAUUCAAACGAUAGAUUUUAGGUUGCAUUUUGGAUGUGUUUGUUUAUGGAAUCCAUAGUAGCAUUAAUAGUAUGUCUAUCUUGUUUUGCAACUUUAUUGCCUUUUGAGUGAGGUUUAUCUUUUUUCGAUGGUAUAUGUCUGUUGCAGGGAGCUGUAAAAGUAAUGGCAAAAGACCUUAUUCGUACCAGGCAUCAGAUUACAAAGUUUUAUGCUCUCAAGUCACAGCUGCAAGGAGUAUCUCUUCGAAUUCAGGUAGAUAUCUGUUUAUUAUCUCUGGUGUAGUGUAACUGUUGUCGAAGUUGGGUUAGCCACUAGAUGAUUUUGCAGGGGGAUAUGUGUGCAAAAGCACAUACUGUUUUAGACAAUCGAGAACAGAUGAAGCUGUGAGAGAUUUUCUCAGCAGACCAAAUUUUCCAAUUGCCAUCAACCUCAGCAACUAAUUAGUAUUUCUCACAGACUUUGAAAUCGACCCAAGCGAUGGGAGAAGCCAUGAAAGGAGUCACUAAGGCGAUGGCCCAGAUGAACAGGCAGCUGAAUCUGCCUGCACUGCAGAAGAUAAUGCAAGAAUUUGAACGGCAAAAUGAGAAAAUGGAAAUGGUCAGCGAGGUGAUGGGAGAUGCUAUAGACGAUGCCUUGGAAGGAGACGAGGAAGAAGAAGAAACGGAAGAACUCGUGAGCCAGGUGCUCGAUGAAAUUGGGAUCGACGUUAAUUCAGAGGUACCUUUUUCUAAGAUAAAUUUAAUCACCUUCCUGUUUUCUAUCAAACAGUUUGGUCGGGGACGAUGAGGGGCUUGUUUAUUCCCGUUAUUUGCAAAACGCGAUGAAAGAAAAGUUUCAGAUGCCCCAUGCAUAAAAAUUAGUUAUUCCCGCAGAAUCCGUCCCCUAACCAAACAGCGCAGGAACUACAUGCUUUGCUUUUACUGUUAUGCAUCAGAGAACUGAGAACCUUUCAUUUUCUGUGCUAAUAAAACACGCAGCUUGUCAAGGCCCCUUCGUCGGCGGUGGCUAAACCAGUUGCAGCUGGGAAGGUUGCUCAAGCGGAAGGAGCCGCGGGCGAAGACACCGGAAUAGACGAUGAUUUACAGGCAAGGCUAGAUAAUUUGAGGAAAAUGUAAUCUUUAUGUACUCAUCUGACUCGUCCGAUGAAACAAGCCAAUAAACUUAGCUUCAUGUACCAUAGCCAUCACGAAUUAUUUCUCAUAAUAUUACUCCCAUGCUUGCUAUUUUAAGAUGCGUGUACGAAGUUUUUCACUUGGAAUUCUCUCAUUGAUCGCAUUUUCUUUUUAUUUGUUUCUCGUGUGGGAUGUUCUAUUCAGUUUUGAUGUGCAGGGUACAGUUUGAACUUUGAAGGCAUGUUAAUUAGUGUGUGAACCAGUUGUAUAUGUACAAUAGCAUGCUCACAGAAUUGGUUUCUUGCUUUAGAGAUACAACUAAGGCACCUAAAUAUAACUUCCCCUCUCUCUUUCUCUCUCUAGAAGUUCAACUGAAACGCUUGCGAUCGGCUAGCGUAGUAAAACUGCGCCCCCUGUCGACCCUGUGCCUCCAAAUCUGAAUGGCGACUCGAUGCUGCUGCUCCGGUGAAGGAGCAGUUCCGAGCCACUGGGUAGACGGGAGCUCGACAAAGCGGGCAGUUCACGUGAGAGAAGAGCCACAUGUCGAUGCAAGCUGCAUGGAACAAGUGCUUACACCGCGGCAUCCGCCUGACAUCUUCUCCAUCUGCAAAAGCCGACAGGCAAACCGAGCACUCGCCGUUCGAGUCAUUAUCGCAGCAAACCCCGCACUCACCGGCACAGCCGUUUGAGGCAUUAUCGCAGGGCCGAUCAAUCCGAUACUUCAUCGCGGGAAUUCCGUGCGUGAUUUCGAUCUCACGCGCUUCGCCGGUCGAGCCGUCGGCGAACCCCAGGCGGCGUCGGAGGCUUUGCAUUGUCGGAUGAGAGGUGGAACAGCAAGCGAAUGCGACGAUGUUCGACAGUAUGAGGAGGACGGCUACCGCGCAGAUUGUGAUCGUGAAGUAGUAGUAGAUGGGGGAUGAGUCCCCUGAAGAAGUUGAAGAGGCCAUUGAAUCUUACGUUUAGAGAGAGAGAGAGAGAGAGAGAGAGAGAGAGAGAGAGAGAGAGAGAGAGAGUAUCGCAUAUAUGUAGGUAAGGAGAGAGGGGAGUGGGAAAAACGUGAAGGGUACGCUGAUUGCAACUGAGCAGUGGGGACACGAACAGUAGAUUGAUACGGCUUCUUACGGUGUUUAUAUCGCAUUUUUUGAGUACUUAUCCGUGCUAUAACAAUGGUGUGAGAAUCACGGGGCCCUUGAAUUAGGGCCAUUUAUUCACAGGCAAAUUAAAUUUGCUGGUCUAAGUAGAUAUCAUAAUAAGCUAAAUUAGAGCUUUUGCCGUAACAGAAAUCAUAAAAUGUACGUUACAUACGUUAAAGUUGUCUACGCUAGAGAUUCGAUAAAAAUAGUAUUAUUAGAGAAUCCGUAACUUACUACGCUUAUUUUUUAUUAAUCUUCUGGCGUAUAUAAUGUAAAAGCUUUUUAUUCAUUUUAUAAACUAUUAUUUAAAAUAUAAUAUGAACUUGUCUACACAUCAAUAACUUCUAAGCGAGUCUUUGUGGGGGUCCAAAAAAUAAUUAAAUACAGAGUGGAGCAAAAAUGUGAAUUCGUAAAUGGUUUACCUAUUUUCAAAUUCACCAUGCUCAUACACGUUGUGUAUGCAUUAGAGCGUUGGAACAGAAGCUAAUUAAUUAUGUACGUAGAUCUGUUAUCUUAACUUUUCCUCAAAUGCAUGUAACUCCCUCACUUUAUUGGCAAAUAAGUAAUAACAUCCUUUGAAAUGUAAAAAAGCUCUCUAAUUAUGCACAUAAUAAUAUAGCAUGUGGAAAGAUAUGAAGAGGGAAAAGAGAGAGAGAGAGAGAGAGAGAGAGAGAGAGAGAGAGAGAGAAUUGUGUAUUGGAAGGGCAUGCAUUGUAUUUUGUACGUACGUAGGUUGCGUUGAAACUAAUUAAGGCAAGUCCAAGGAGUUUCGUGCAUGUAAUAUAAAUUUUACUGCUUCUUCUGUGAGUAGUACGUAUAAUGUCAGUGAUUGAAAUUAAAGAAACUGGUAAAAUGCAUGUACGGACGGCCUCUUUACAUUUUUAUGUAAGCGUUAACUUGCACUUUGGUCGUCCAUUAAUUACUUUUUAAAUAAAACGAAUAAUUAAUAAUAAUAUAGGACUCCUAUGUAGACCUUAGAAACUAAUGCACUGUAUCCUUAGAAAUAGAUGCCUUUAAUUAUGAGUUGAGAAGGUGAUCAAGUGAUGUAUUGAUAAAUUCAUGUAGCAUUUUUUGCAUAAAUAUUGACUUGUACUUGUAUUUGCAUGUUGAAUUCCUAGUAAAUAAGAGUUGAGAUUACAUGUACAACAGCCAGAGGAAACUUAAUUUCUCUCCAAAUUAUAAAAUAAAAUAAAAGAGAAAUUCAUCAAAAAUGGAGGAACUAAAAGAGAAAGUUAAUUCAGUUUGUACCUAAUAAGGUAAUUGUACUCCGCAUCACUUAAACAUUAUCAAUUAAGAAUAUAUAUAUAUAUAGAGAGAGAGAGAGAGUUGAGCUGGAAUGCUAUUAGUAGCAAAUGGACUCCGUUGUCAUCCAUUUGUUUUCGGUAAUCGAGUCUCCAAAUUGACGAUCGACACCGUUGAAUAUGAUCUAUACUACUUGGAGCAUGUAGAAACUAAAUUUUAAAUUUUUUUUUGCAUCAUUGGCCUAAUGAUCAAAGUGUUUCAAAAUUUAUAAUUUUAACGAUUGAUACGUGACGUUUCUCAUUUAAUGGUGUAAAGAUAUUUAAAUGAGUUGAAUUUUGGUUAGAAAAUUCUUUAAACUAUAAGAUUUAUACUCUUGAUCUUGAUUACAAGACUCCUAUCAUCACUUUUUAAAGAAUAUUCAUUUUCGAUCAUUCAUUUUUAUGUCCACUUGAUAGAUAAGAGAAUAAUAUCGAAAAGUAUAAAAUUUGAUUUUUAAAUAUUUCAAGUGGUAUAAAUCAUGUUCAACGAUAUCGAUCGUCGAUUUAGAGACUCGGUCGUCGAAAACAAAUGAGUGGCAAUGGAGUCUUUUUACUACCGAUAGUAUUUCAGCUCAACUCUCUCUUUCUAUAUAUAGAAUUAACAAAUGAAAUAUGAUCGAGCGUUAGAUUUAAUGAUAGAAAAUUUGACAGUAUCAAUCACUUGGUAUUAUCGACAGUAUAGUAACCUAACUUAUAUAGAUGUAUAUAACCAAAAUUGAGCGUGCUAUAGGAUGGCGGCCGGAGGCGGCAUGCGGUGCGGCAGCGAAUCGCCGCGGGCCACAUGGCAGGCGCGCAGCGGCGGAGGGGCUAUCUCGGCGCGGCACACGGGGCAGCUGGUGCGCGCGCGGAGCCACGCGUCGAUGCACGCCACGUGGAAGCAGUGCGCGCACUCCGGGAGCACCCGCACGGCCUCGCCCUCCUCGAAGUCCGCGAGGCACACCGCGCACGUGCCAUCCCCCUCCCCUUCCCCCUCGCCUCCCCGGCUCUUCUCGUAAGGCACCGCCGCCGCGGGAAUCAGCUGCGCGGCGCUGCUGCUGCUGCAGCUGCAUGGGAUCUGCUGCUGCUGCUGCUGCUGCUGCAUGGGACGCUGCGCGGGGGCCGGAACGCGGCUGCGGCUGCGGCUGCGGCGGCCGUUGGGGCAGCACGUGGCGAGGAGGCAUCGGCAGAGGGCGAGGACGAUGCCGACCGACAUGAAGCAGAGGAAGGUGAUCAACACCGGGGCCACGUACUUUGGGUUCGCGCGGUGGUCGCGAUCGCCGCGGUGGUGGUCCAUUUCGGUUGCAACGGCGGUGCCGCCGAAACGGAGACUGAUGUAUCAGAGCUAGCUAUUUAUCUUUCAAUGAACUCUAUAUACGAUGAACUAAUAGGGGAGGAUAUUUUUUUUUGUUUUCAAUUUUUCUGAAGUAACUUUGUAUAUAUUUUGUCUCAUUCUAUUAGGGAUGGUUCGGAAACAAAAACAAACAAGAAACAAAGGCCGAGACAAAGAAUAGAACGUUGUUUGCGAGGUUUUCGGGGUUUUCAAACCGUGUUUUGUGUUGGAACGGUUUGCUUUGGCUUUUGCGUGAGCUUCAUAUGGAGUAUUAGAGGAAGCUCCAGUGAGUUAUUUUUAGAAUUGCAUAGCUUACUAAUCUUGGACUCUGGGAUACUUUCAAAUCAAGUAAAAACAAAUUUGAAAGUGUAUGAUCAUACCAGAGUGUCCAUAUAAAUGGAGACAUAAGAUUUUGGCCACUUCUAUGUAGAGUUGAGAUUUUACCUUUUUUUUUUUUUUGAGAGAUAGGUAGCACGCUAUCCGUUUCGUUUAUUUUAUUUAGAAAUAAACUUAGCAAGAAAUGUGAAUCAACUAGGAUUCGAACUUGGGACUCGAUCGGAUACCAACCACCAAAUCUUUUGCCACUUGCUCUAAGGACGGUUGGUAGCUUUUUCAAUUAUAGGACAAGAAAAACUUUACAGAUACCCCUGUUUAAUCAAAAAAGAAAAACUUUACAGAUUUAUUGGUUGAUUUGCUUAUUAAUUAAUUUUAUUUUCUUUCAUAUAUCUUGUGUAGAGAAAAUGUUCUGAAAUGCUGCGCUAUUGAGUAGGAGGGUUAUGUACACUACUUACUUACUGGGCUUUACAAAAUUUAUCUGUGUAGUUCUCUCUCUCUCUCUCUCUCUCUCUCUCUCUCUCUCUCUCUUGUUUUUUAAGGAUUAUAAAUGGUGGCCAAGAUCACCAUUAUAUAACAUGCUCCAUUAGGUGGUGACAUGUCUAUUUUGUUUGCGCAUUGUUCACUCGUGAUGAACUCAAUCUUAAGCUUCUAAAUAUUUUAGAUAUGGAAGGCUAAAAUAUGAAAUUAAAGUAAUAUAGAUAGAGCAAUGAAUGAUGACUAAAUUGUUGGUGGAUGAUCUGAUAGGAAAGAAAUAAUAUAAUUUUAAAAACCAAUUAUUUGAUCUUUUUUGACCAUUAAAUAAAUUCGGAACGUGAGCAGGAAUUGGAUUAAAUUUUGCAGCUCUUAGUGACUUGGAUUUGAGUGAGAAGUUAAUAGAGUUAGUAAUUUUUCCACGAUUUUUCUUUUUUAUUUUUAUUUGCCUUUUUUAUUUUGAUUGCCUUGAACAUUUUUUAAGGCCGCGUUGCCUCAACCCAUAUAGCUAAAUUCAUUUGCUAAAUAAAUGAAGCAUGCUAUCCUUUUCUAAAAAAAAUAAUUGAUGAGCAAAUUCAAUACAUUUGUUUUCUCUUACAUAUUAUGAGAAUUUGACAUUUUCUUUUAUAUACUUAAUUAAUAUAAUGCAGCGUGCAUGCUUAUGCACCCAUAAUCUUUUAGUGCAAUAAUUUAGGGUUAAUAAUGUCUUAAUUAAUAAUGCUUCAUAACAUGUUCACUUUUACAAUGAGGGGGUGAUGGUGGUUAAAGGAAGGGGCAAUUAUAAGCCUAUUUAAUGAAUAAAAUUUAUGAACCAUUGAUGUCUUUAAUUAGGAGUGGAUGGUGUGUCAUUAUGUCCAAUCCCGUUAUGGAUUAUUAAUUGUCCAUAGACUUGUUAAAAAAAACAAAAUCUUAAUAACAAUUAUUUUAUACAAGACUACUAAAAUUAAUAAAUAUAUGAAAAAUAUCAAACAAUAUAUUAUUGUAUUAUUUUUAACCAAAUGUUUGGCUUUGUUGUCUUGUAGACAUAUAAUAUACAAUACAUUACAAUAUGUAAUAUUUCACAAAUGGUGGCACAUGUCAUGGUACAAUUAUUCACUUAUGAUGAUAAGUGAAUAAUAAUUAUUAAUACCGUUGCGAAGAAAAAAGAUUAGAGUAAUAUCAAUCGUAAAAAAAUAACAUUUAUUAUAUCUAAUUUAUAAUAGAUGAAUGUUUUGACUAUAGUAACGGUGCGGCGAAUAGUAGUAUAAAUAAUUUAAAGGGUAAAAACUACGUGGAAUGGUUCGAAAAUUUUCGUUUUGUUUUUUUUUUUUUUUGUCAAUAUUAAAAACAGCAAGAUUUUUUUUUUAUUUUUUAUUUUUAGCUAGAACAUCUUGCGUAACCCGGUUUCCGUCCUGUCGCCGUUAAUUAACGGCGAAAUUAGUCUAAUUGCGCAGUUCUUAAAUCGACGGCGUCGUCGUACGUUCGUUCCUUCUCCUUUCCCUCACCUCUCUCUCUCGUCCUUAUUGUGGAUGGGUGGAGAAGCCAUAGUCGAAGCUCACGAAGCACAAUUCCCUUGUCGUUUUUGAUCCUGCUUCGAAAGGUAAUCCCCCUAAUUAGCACCAAUUCGUUUCUUGGCAAUAACUAGGUUUUGAUCUUUCCGACCUCCUUUUUCGCUUUCGAUUUUGAUUUGGGUUACUGGUUUUGAUCCAUACGUAUCUCCUCAAUUCGAACCCCUUUUAGCGAAUUGGAGCCGUUUCGGGGGUUUCUAUUGUUACAACGAUCUUGCCCCUUUGUAAUCGGUUGAGAAAUCGAGGGUUUUCGGGGGUUGUUGGAUGCAAAGAUCACUUUUUUAGUGUUUGUUUUGGGAUUAACUUGGGCUGGGACCAAUUGGGUAUCUUCUGUUUGUAUCAUCAGUCUUGCCCUUUUCGAGUCAGCUGAGGAAACUAGGGUUCCAGGAUUUGCUGUGCUAUUUUUAGGGUUUAUUUGACCUGGGAUCAAUUGGGUUUCUUCUAGUUUCACAAUUUGGUUGAUUGAUUGAUUAAUUUGAUCUGUGAAUGUUGGUUCUAGGGUUUUUGUAGUUAAAAAAAAAAGGUUCCUUUCUGCUGGGUCUGAUCUGGGGAUUCGGUUGGAUUUGGGGGCUAUUGGGGUUUUCCAUUGAUCUGUUGGAAAUUUGAUGGUUGGAUUUAUGGAAUGGGCCUGUGAGUGCCUCCUGUGGGAUGCGUUCAUCGAAUGCGGCGGCAUCCGAAACCCGCCGAUUAGAUAGCGCAAAGAGAAAGGAGGCGGAGGAGGAGGAGGAGGAGGUGAAUAGAGAGUUCGCGCUGUUUCGAGACAGAGUGAUGGGAGAAGAUCUCCUCACCACUUUAUCCAUGGAUAACCACCACCAUCCCUCCACCCUCCUCUCCAUAGAACCUUCCGGAAACCCAUCAUCGUCUUCCUCCCACGAGGAUGUCGACCACCGUGAACCCAUGAUCCACCACCGCCCCCCCGCGACUCUAUCUGGCCCCCCUGAUAUAAACCUUCCCUUUUCGGAUGAAAUCUCUCCGCCACACCACUCAUGGAACUCGGAUGCUUGCGAUAAUAUAUUCGACAUCAGCACAGGCCCCCAGCUUUAUGACCCAGAUUCUAUGCUCAACCUCCCAAAGAUUACCAACCGCAAAUUUGCCAAAAGAGGAGAUAGCAUUUGGGGUGCGUGGUUCUUCUUCAAUAACUACUUCAAACCUACAUUAACUGAUAAAUCAAAGAAUAAGGCCGGCGUUAGGGAUGCGAACUUCGAUAAGUCGGAUUUGAGGCUCGAUGUCUUCUUUGUCCAGCACGACAUGGAGAACAUGUACAUGUGGGUUUUCAAGGAGAGGCCUGAGAAUGCCCUAGGCAAGAUGCAGUUAAGGAGCUUCAUGAAUGGCCAUUCACGGCUUGGCGAACCGCAGUUCCCGUUCAGCGCCGAUAAGGGUUUUGUCCGGUCCCACCGAAUGCAGCGCAAGCAGUACCGUGGUCUGUCCAACCCUCAGUGUAUCCAUGGAAUUGAGAUCGUGAGAUCGCCUAAUCUUGCCCUAAUUCCUGAAAGCGACCUCAAGAAAUGGGUGGAAUUAACAGGAAGGGAGCUUAAUUUCCCAAUCCCGCCUGAAGCUAGUGAUUUUUGUUCAUGGAGGAAUCUUAAUUCUGCUGAUUUCGAGCUUGAAAGACCAAAGCUGUUGAAUGGGUCGGGCUUAAAUCUAUUGUCGCAAGCAAAUCAUUCUAUUGGUAAUGGAUUGGAUCAUUCUUCACUAUGCAAUAAACGCAGAAUCGAUGAGGAGUGCUUCUUGCCACUAAAUUCUACUUCAGAGAGAGCCCAAGAUGUGGAGAUGAAUAACCCAAUUGAACCUUUGUGGGCAAAUGAAUUUAACGGUGUAAUGAGACACGCAAGUGGCCCCGUGACCGCAUCGAAAACUAUUUAUGAGGAUGAGGGGGGGUAUCUUAUAUUGGUUAGCUUACCUUUUGUGGAUCGUCAAAGGGUGAAAGUUUCAUGGAGGAAUACUCUCACUCAUGGGAUAGUUAAAAUACUUUGUGUUAGUACUGCAAGGAUGUCGAAUAUAAAGAGGCAUGGUAGGACCUUUAAGUUAAUGGAUCCUUUUCCUGAACAUUGCCCGAUGGGGGAAUUCACGAGAGAGAUACCGCUUGCUACAAGGAUUCCAGAAGAUGCUAAGCUUGAAGCCUAUUAUGAUGAGAGUGGUGCAGUACUCGAGAUUAUGGUCCCAAAACAUAGUUCCGGGCCAGAAGAACACGAAGUUAGGGUCUGCAUGCGGCCCUCUCAACUUGGAGGUAGUGAUCUUAUGCUAACAUAAGUAUUUUGAUUGUAGUGUGGAAUUAAUAUUUGUUUGGUUGCGUUAGUGUCUGCCGAAGAACGUGGCCUUUCCAUAGUAUGGUUGGGUUAUUAGUAGAACUACUGCGAGUUUGCUUGUUAGAAGGUUUUGGAGAGAUGGUGGUCAUGUCUAACUAUCUAUUUGAGUCGAAUAAAAUCUUGCUUGUAUUUGUGUUGGCUCUUUUAAAUAACAUAGGUAAUGGAAUUGUAGUUUUUGAGAACAUCUUUUGUGCGCUUUGUAGCUCAUAAGUGCAAUGACUUGGCCUUUUGGCUUUUCUCUGUGAAGUUACUGUAAUUUCUUAUGUUCCUUUUUCAUUGUGGUGAAAAAUUGUCAUCGAUUGUGGGAUCUGCAUCAUCUCAUUUGCGUCUUUAGCACUCUCUUAUGUUUCUUUAGCAAGAUCUCGUAUGACUCAGAGAAAAGGACAGGUUCUUUAUCAAAAGUUAAAACAAAUUAUUCUGCUCCAUUUCAAACCUUUCUUUUCCUUGGGUGCAUAAGUUUUCUGUCUCUUGAUAGCGACUACACCAUUUUGAUUGUAGUAGUCAUGCCCCAAUAAUGAAGGCUAUUAAAUUCAUUGCACAUAAUCUUCUUACAUAUGAUAGGCUUUCGUGUUAGUGCCUGAGAAUGAUUUAUUUAUUUGCAUAUGUUUCUUGUGGAUGGGUGGGUUUUGUUCUUUUAGCCACGACAAGACAUAUAUUUCAAUUUUAGAUGAAAAUUAGCUGUUUUAAAAUGCCUAUUUGGUUUAGCUUUUACAAGGACUUCUCCAGGGAUGACUUUUCGCCCUUUGUUUUUAACUCAACUGUACUUGGAAAUUAAGAGAGGAGCUUGGUGAAGCUUCUAGUUGCUAUGUUUGGGUAAAUUUUAAACAAAGUUGUUAGGCUGCUUCAGUUCUGAGUUUCAACAUGUACAAAUUGCGGAUGCUUUUCGUCUGGUGCAGCUGAACAAGAAAUUCAUGUUCAUGCAGGUAGAAAACUUGAAGAAGAAAUGGAAAUGGUUUGUAAAUAGAUGUUUUGAUAUUACUUGAUCUAUGAUGCUAAUUAGUUUAUUAUUUCUCUGCUGCUUUGCUAGCUGUUUCUCGUAAUGAAACUGAGCAGGAUUUUGAAGUCAUUAUCUAUUUCCUGAAGUGUAGGAUAUGCAAUGUCAAUUCAACUACUCUAAACAGUGUUGGUGCUACUAGUUUAAAAAUCUUAUAUUUGAACAAUUACAGUACUAUCACCGCGCCUCGGUGAAACUGGGCUCUGAAUUGUUUGAUCCUUUGAGGCCCAAUUGUGUCCCAGCCCAAAAAAGGCCCAAAACAUUGGAUGGACCUCUACCCACUCCCUCUCCCAACUUUAACCCCGCACGCAUUCCGAGUCCUUACCUUUUUCAUUCCAUGGGAUCACCCUUUCUUAAUCCUUAAGAAACAACGCAACCAAUAUUUAAUAACCAAUAAUAUUUUGUCUAUUUUACCUUGAAUUUGAACUUAUAUUUUGCACGAGGAGUAUUAUUUUUAUAUGUUUAAACUAAUUUUUCUAUAACUUAUUGUUAAAUAUAAAAAUAUUUAAAUAUCGUUCUCUAAUAGUAUAAGCUUUUAAAGUGUAACGGUUGUUUUACAUGACAUCAGAGCAGGAGGUUCUGAGUUCGAGUUAUGUCAGGUUUCUAACAUUUUAUUCUUCCAUUUAAUUCAAGCUCACGUCAUGGAUCAACUAAAAAAUUUCAAGCCAAGAUGUAAAGGAGAGUGUUAAAAGUUUAACAGUUUAAGUUUUUAGAGUACACCGAUGUGAAAAUAUAUUGUUGCUGUAGUGCAGGAGUUAGAGAUUGAUCUGGAGCAUAUAAGAGUCAAAUGUUUUCUAAUUCUCACAUUUCGAACAUAAGCGAGGCAACCUAGUUUAAGUAUAGCAAAGAACAUUUCGGCUUGAAAUGGACUUCUAAACUAAAUUUAAGACAGGUAAAAGAACUAAAAAUGAGCCUAGUUUUGAGUUAAGUUCAUUUGGAGCCUAAAUUGAAACCUACUAUUCAAACUUAAAUUCAAAAAGUUCAUUAGCCCGUCAUCAUUAACUGACACAUACUGUAAACUCACCUUACUAGCCACUGUGGAUCUUUAAAUUUUGGGUUACUUGAAAACAUCUGGAGAUGCCACAACACACAGAGAACCCAGGAGGUGGCGGAGCUCCUGGACAAAAUUUUGGGGGCAUCUGUUCGCAAACAAUUUAUUUAGAAACGGAACCGAUGGGCGCCGCGUGGUGUACAGGCGCCCAUCACAACCACCCACUUUCCACCACAGGCUCCCCCCCCNUUUUUUCAGUUUCCGAGGGUUGCGACCCAUCAGCUCUGCCCCAAAUAAGUUGUUUGGGGGCGGAUGCCCACCAAAUUUUUAUCCCGAGCUCCUGAAUCCAAAAGAAUAGCUACUGGACAGUAAAAAAGAGUCACUGGAUUUUCAAAUAAUAACAAUAAUUUAUUUAAAAUUAUACAAAUUUUUUUUAAAAUCGUAAUUUUGCUAUCUAAUUUUUUAAUCUAUUUAAUUGGAAUCAAUCAAUAAUAUUUUUAAUUUAAAAUUAAAAUAUAUUAUUUAUUUUUGCAUAUUUUAUUAAUAUAAUUUAUAUAAUUCUCAUAAUUAUAAAUUGAUUAAAAUUAUAUUUUAAUUAAUUCAAAUUAAAAUAAAUUCAAUAGUUGGAUAAUAAAAUGAAAGUUUUUGAAAAAUUAGAUAGUCCAUUUAAAAUGAUCAUACUUUUAAAUAAAUUUGAUAUUAUUUUUAUAUAAAAAAAUAUAACAAAAAAAAUG
rnacentral:lncRNA from 1 species